UUUUCUUUUUGUCUAGCCAUCUCAGUGACUUGUCUCACAAGCCUGGUAGAGAUACAUACUACACAUUCAUCAUCGCAAAAAAAAAGAUACAUACUACACAUUCGUUACGUAGCAAGGCCAUGAAGAAUUGAAAUUAGUAGAUAAUUCGAAAUCAAACCAAGUAGUCUUUUCAUACUUAUGGAUCGCAACUUCACUAUCACUAAUAACUAACAAAUCAGUCUUUUGUAUUCAUGUUUCUGUUAAGUUACACAAAGGGUUUGGUGGGCAAUCUAUAUUUCUUUUGAUACCCGAGAUCAAAAUCAAUCAACGGUAAGAAGUCUGUCGUUGUUGGUUGAGUUUGUGAUAGGUUCUUUGUCACGAUUUGCUAGCAUUAUUUGCUUUGGGGUUGGUCAUAUGUAUAUGUGCAAUAAAUGCUACAAACAUUGCCAAGUACGCCCAUCCUCUACAUAACUUAGAUGCACACAGUCAACAAAGUCCUCGCACCAAGCCAAAAAGAAGAAAACAAAAUAUAAAUAACUAAGUUCUGUAUAACGCCAAGUCGUAGGUGGCCCAAUUCUAAGAUCAUGCUGCCACCCAUGUUGGGUAAAAGUAUCCCUUACCGUGGCCUCCAAUCGUGUACACACCUCUGUGAACAGGUCUUAAUUCUCCACUCGUUAUAAAAAGGACCAUAAACAUAGCAUGAUCUAGCAGGGAACGGGAUGUAUUGCAAAUUUGAGUCAGAGACAAGUUUGAAAAAAGAAUCCUCAUAAGAGCAGUAGAACUAGGAAGAACAUAGCACAACGUGACUCUAUGUUGUCAAUUCAAUGCAUUUUCAUCCUAGAGUGUUGAGCUGCAUAUUUCAUCACUCAGGUACAUACCGAUUGGUCGAGCUAAGCAUAGCCCGGUCUCCGACACUUGUAAAGAUAGAAUGAAAAAUAAAUGCAGUCUGUUCAUGUAAUCCUAAGGCUGGUCAUAGUGGGGAGUAACUUAGACUAGUAACAUACAUAUGUUACUAGUCUAUGUUACUACCUUCAUAGUGGGUAGUGUCAUAGGUGUGGUAACAUAGUUGCCUUCAUUUAUUACUUUGUAGACUCAUUAUGCAUUGGAAACCGCUAUGUGAUGGUAACAUAUUAUGUUACUCUAUUUGCCUCUCUCCUCAUUAACUAGUUGCCACAUCAUCAUUUUUGCUUAUGUGGCAUCUAUGUUACUACCUAUGUUACUCCCACUAUGACCAGCCUAAAUGGAGUCUUGUGACUUCAAAAAAUGUUGAUAGAAGUACUUUUGACAAAAUAAGAGGUGGCUUAAUUUGGUGGUUGCAUUAUUACGCUAGUGAAGUGAACCUUAUCUCAAUGAUACAAACACCAUACACUGAUCGAGCUUGCAUAUAUUCAUCGAUGCAACAAAAACAAAUGUGAUCAAAUCAAUUUCUUGGUACACAACACGCAAGUCCACAUGCAUGACAACUAUUCCCUCCGUUCCUAAAUAUUUGUCUUUCUAGAUAUUUCAACAAGUGACUACAUACGGAGCAAAAUGAGUGAAUAUAUACUCUAAAAUAUGUCUAUAUACCUCCAUAUGUGAUAGUCUAUUUAAAAUUUAUAAAAAAAACAAAUAUUUAGGAACGGAGAGAAUAUAUUAGACGUCGUUGAAGCGUCUCAGGCCUCGACCUCGUCGAUGUAGUGCUCCUGGCGUCCCUGGUCGACCAGAACCCCCUGCAGCUUCUUGGCGUUGGUCGCCAACACCUUCCCGUGCUCCUCCACCAUGACUCGCCGCACCGCCACCGCGACACCGUCCCGGUCAAACGAACCGUCGUUCUCGUCCCUCGCCACCUCCACGCCGAUCCCUCUCUCUACCAUCGCCCGCGCGAUCAAGGGCUGGUCGACGACGAACGGCAGCAUCACCAGCGGGAUCCCGGAGGAGAGGCUCUCGAUGGUGGAGCCCCAGCCACAGUGCGUCAAGAACGUGCCCGUGGCGCAGUGCGCCAGCGCCUCCACCUGCGGCACCCACCCCGUGCAAACCACCCCGCGGUGCCGCGUACGUUCCUCGAACCCGGCUGGCAACAGAAGCUCGUCGUCGUUGCUGGUGCCCGCCGGCUUGCGUAGCGCCCAGAGGAAGUGCACGCCGGCGAGCUCUAGGCCGAGCGCGAGUUCAUGGGCGUUCUCUGGCGUCAAUGGCGCCUCGCUUCCCAGCGCAACGAAGAUGACGGAGUUGGGAGGCUGGUCGUCCAGCCAUCGCAGGACCUGCGGACGGACGAUGCUGCCUGAGCUGCUCUGCCGGUGGUCUUCUUCAAGGUCGCCGGGUGCCCCCGGUAGAAGGAUCCCGGCGGGGACGGCAGGCUUCCGGAAGAGAUCGGAUAGGAGGCCGAACAUCCGGGGCUCCAAUUCCUCGCAGCUCCGGUGUAUGAUCCGUUCUAAAAAAAAGCUCCGGUGUAUGGUGAGGCGGCUGCGCUCCAAGACCUGCCACCAGCGGUCCAUGUCGGACACGCCGGAUGCGUUGGUACGGAAGGCGUCGGUGAUCCACUGGGCCUCGUGGCGGAGGAAGAAGGUGGUGGACGGGAAGGGAAUCCACCUGGGUGUCUCGGCGAAGUGCUCCGGCUCCAUGCGCGGGUGUGCGGCGUUUGCCCACCGCGGCCCCAGGAAGACCGACAAGGCGGCCUGGGAGGCUGGGAAGUCAGGAACGUGGCGGAUGCCACCUUGAGCUGGUCGGCGAUGGGCGGGACCCAGUGGUGGCAGAAGUCGUGGACGAUCCAGUCGGGCCUCCUACCGGCGGCGAGGAACGCCGCGAGUGGGCCGGCGAGGCCGUCCAUGGCCUUCUUGAGGAGCCCGACCUUGUCGGGCGGCAGGUCAGACGUGACCUCGGCGCCCUCCAGCAGCCCAUCCACGGCCGGAAGAUGCAGCGGCACGAACCGGAGGCGGGCGGACAGACCGGCCGGCACGGCCGGGAGCCUGGCGAGAUUCCGCGGCGUGGACACGAAGGACACGGUGUGGCCCCUGGCCGCGAGGCGCUUGGAGAGCUCCAGGAACGGGAUCAUGUGGCCGAACGCCAGCCACGGGAACACCACCACCUCCAGCCCGCCGGCGCCGGCAGCCGCUGCUUCCAUUGCCAUCUGCUCGCAACGGAUCGAUGGAGCGAAGUAAAACAGGGAGAGGCUUGGUCUUUGGUGUUGCUGCUGGGCAGUGGGCAUAAACUAAAUAAUGGAGCUCUUGGGGAAAAGCUAUUCUCACAUGCAUUAAUAUAGCCCCGUAUAGUGGCACUCAUUAAUGCACGUUGUGCCAUGCUGUUCAAGCUUUUCCAUCAGUCGGACAGAAACGAGUCGUUGUAAGUACCGUUGAUCCAAUUAUUUUUUGAAAGGUGAAGUUCUCUAUACUCUGUCAGUUGCCUUAGCAAUAGCGUGACAUACUGAGAGUGCAUUUGAGCAAGAUAUUACUUCUAAUACUAAUUAAACUAAGUACAAGUUGUGAAUAAUUGAUAAUGGAUGAACUAUUUUUGAGUGCAACCAUUCACUGCAGGCUUCAAACUGAAGGGGUGUUUUUCUUUAUUUAAGAGGACUUGCCUUUUCUUUCAAGACAUGAUGUCAUGUGCAUUUCAUUCAAAAUCUUUUCUGAUGUACACUUGAAAUAAAAACUGACCUGCAUGUCUCGAAAAUACAUUAUAGUAACAAGGUGAUGGCUGUGAAGAAGCAUUUGAAAUAGAUGCAAGGAAAUGUAAUAAAUAAACAAGGUUCAAAAGUGAUGAACCGAUACUUACAAUGCAAAUAGUGCGAUCGUGUUGCCAGGACAUAAAUAAUCCACCAUACUACAAUAAAGGUAUGUGUGGGAGGUUAUCAGGUUAACAAAUAUUAAUAACACCAAAUAGAUGCUAUAUACACCUUUCUGGUAUUCCAGUGUACUUCUUCCGCUUUACCACCCAUCAUCAGAACUAACUCCUUGAAAGCCCAAUCGAAAUAUUCUGCAGUCUCGUUUGUAAGAAGUACUCCAGCGAAAAUAAUACUCUGGAAGUGGUUAUUCACUCCAACGAACAUCCUAAACGGCAUCUUGUAUAUGUUGGUCUCGUACGUUGUAUCGAAUGUUACAACAUCACCAAAGUGAGAAUAUAGAGCUCUGCUCUGACCACUUGUCCACAUGAGAGACCUUAGAUUUUUAUUGGCGUCCAGCUGCAUUGAGAAAACAAACCUAUUGUCCUGAGCUAUAUUGUCUCUGAAACCCUCAAUUGUUUUUCUUACAUCAUCUUUUAGAGCUUCAGCUGCAAUGUCCGAACACAAAGUCCUCAGAGCCUUCUUCAUGAAUGGAACACCAUCCGUUGUACCAUAGAAGCUGCCAACUAUGCCAUUUAUUCUGCUAAGGCUAACCAUAGUUUUGGUAGAAUCAUCUAUGUGUCUAUGAGAAAACAAAUGCUUCUUCUGGCCACAACUCUCAACCAGAUCAUGGUUGUGUUGUUCAUUGAAUAUCUUGACAUACCAUAGUAAAUCAUUGGACCUAAGCAACCUUAGCCGUGCACGACAUCCACAUCUGGUGCUGCUGAGCUUUGUCUUCUUAUCAAUGCCCUGAAAUGUCAGACAAAUAUUUGUUAAGAAUAAGAAAGAUCUAUUUGCGUAAGAGUAAUAUCGCAUAAAGUUUAUACCUAGAAACUUUCACUACCAGAAAAACUGGGGUUGCCGACGGCCAAAUCUAUGCCGACGGCCCCCGUCGGCAUCUAUGGACCUAUGCCGACGGCCAAGGAUAGGCCGUAGGCGUAGAAUAGCCGUCGGCAUACAUCCAUCUAUGCCGACGGGGCCGUCGGCAUAGACGAGGCCGUCGGGACCGUCCGAGCUACGCCUACGGGGCCUGUCGGCAUAGGACAGGCCAUCGGCAUAGCCCGGGCCCACCUGCCCGGUCAGCGCUGACCAUUUGACGGCGUUGAUCCUACGCCGACGGGCGGUAAUGGCGGCCGUCGGCAUAUCUGUGGCAGAGGUAUGCCUAUGGCAUAGCCGUCGGCAUAGGCCCCUCUGCCACGUCAACGAUCCGUGUGCCACGCCACGUCAUCGAUCCGUGUGUGCACAGAUAUGCCGACGGCCUUGCCGUCGGCAUAUGUUUACUUUACUUAAUUUUUUAUUUUUACUUUGGUUAUCUGUGGUAGAGGUAUGCCUACGGCACAGCCGUCGGCAUAGGCUCCUUCGCCACGUCAUCGAUCCGUGUGCCACGCCACGUCAUCGAUCCGUGGGACAACCUCCGUCAUCGAUCCGUGUAUUUUACUUUAUUUUUUUUAUUUUUACUUUGUUUUGUUAUUUUUACUUUAUUUUAGUUUUUGCUUUUGCAUAAGAUAAUUAUGCCUUAUCUAAAAAAACAUACCCGAUGGUAUAUCGAUUGCCCCCCGUUACGAACGUCGCUAUCGCCGUGUCACGGAGGGGGGAAAGGUCGACACGAAAUGAAUUCUGGUUGGUGGGGGGAUUCGGGGUGUAGCUAUGUCACCAAAACAUCGCACGGGUCCCGAUGCAUAUGUGAAAGUGUUCAUGCAUGCGUAGACGCCCGUCUUGGGGCUCCGGGGUGUGCCCCCCCCUCACGGACGGCGCUGCCGCCGGGACCUGGAGGGGGGAAACAGACGCGUGGGGUCUACACGGAGGGGAUCUUGCUGUGGGUCUGGCCCGGAUGUUGCUCCAAAGUGUUCCUAUGGGCUGACCUAACACAACCGGGUGGGGAGGUCCACUGGUCAAAGCCCGUUCGUGCAAAAUCAAAGGGCUAGAUUCCGUGGUCAAACGCUACAGGGUUAGGCGGGACGGGGGCACUGGGGGGUAGCAAUGCCACCGGGUCGCACCGGGCCCUCAUACAUGCGGGGUGGUGUGGUGGCAUGUCUGAAGAGGCGGGACGCGUCUCCGGUGCGUGGCCCCCCUCACGGACGGCGAUGACACGGUAGUAGACGUUCUGCAGUAACGAUGCGACGUCAAUAUUACUAAAUACUCGAAGCGCGAUAAAAUCAUGAGUUUUUUUGCACGACGUGGGCACAUGUGCUAUACGAACGAUGGUAUUUUUUCAUAAUUUUUGGUGAUGGAGAAGUAUCCGAAAAAUUCCCUCUACGCGGAUUGCCCUUCGCGCGUCUACGGCUGUGGCCGGCGGCCUCCGGGGGCUAGCAUGCCGCCAAAUCUUGCGUAGGCGGCCUCUCACAAGUCUGGAAGUGUUGUGGCGGUUGCAAACGCCCAGCACGCGUGUCCGGGGUGUGCCCCCCCCCUCACGGACGGCGCUACCGCUGGCACCUGGAGGGGAGAAACGGACGCGUGGGGUCUACACGGAGGGGAUCUUGCUGUGGGUCUGGCCCGGAUGUUGCUCCAAAGUGUUCCUAUGGCUAACCUAACACAACCGGGUGGGGAGGUCCACUGGUCAAAGCCCCGUCUGUGCAAAGUCAAAGGGUUAGAUCUCGUGGUCAAACGCUACAGGGUUAGGCGGGACGGGGGCACUGGGGGUAGCAAUGCCACCGGAGCGUCGCACCGGGCCCUCAUACAUGCGGGGUGGUGUGGUGGCAUGUCCGAAGAGGCGGGACGCGUCUCCGGUGCGUGGCCCCCCCCUCACGGACGCGAAGACACGGUAGUAGACAUUCUGCGGUAAUGAUGCGGCGUCAAUAUUACUAAAUACUCGGAGCGCGAUAAAAUUAAGAGUUUUUUUGCACAACGUGGGCACAUGUGCUAUAGGAACGAUGGUAUUUUUUCACAAUUUUUGGUGAUGGAGAAGUAUCCGAAAAAUUCCCUCUACGCGGAUAGCCCUUCGCGCGUCUACGGCUGUGGCCGGCGGCCUCCGGGGGCUAGCAUGCCGCCAAUCUUGCGUAGGCGGCCUCUCACAAGUCUGGAAGUGUUGUGACGGUUGUAAACGCCCGGCACGCGUGUCCGGGGUGUGCCCCCCCUCACGGACGGCGCUGCCGCCGGCACCUGGAGGGGGGAAACGGACGCGUGGGGUCUACACGGAGGCGAUCUUGCUGUGGGUCUGGCCCGGAUGUUGCUCCAAAGUGUUCCUAUGGGCUGACCUAACACAACCGUGUGGGGAGGUCCACUGGUCAAAGCCCGUCCGUGCAAAGUCAAAGGGCUAGAUCCCGUGGUCAAACGCUACAGGGUUAGGCGGGACGGGGCACUGGGGGUAGCAAUGCCACUGGAGCGUCGCACCGGGCCCUCAUACAUGCGGGGUGGUGUGGUGGCAUGUUCGAAGAGGCGGGACGCGUCUCCCGUGCGUGGUCCCCCCUCACGGACGACGAUGACACGGUAGUAGACGUUCUGCGGUAACGAUGCGGCGUCAAUAUUACUAAAUACUCGGAGCGCGAUAAAAUCAAGAGUUUUUUUGCAAGACGUGGGCACAUGUGCUAUAGGAACGAUGGUAUUUUUUCAUAAUUUUUGGUGAUGGAGAAGUAUCCGAAAAAUUCCCUCUACGCGGAUUGCCUUUCGCGCGUCUACGGCUGUGGCCGGCGGCCUCCGGGGGCUAGCAUGCCGCCAAAUCUUGCGUAGGCGGCCUCUCACAAGUCUGGAAGUGUUGUGACAGUUGCAAACGCCCGGCACGCGUGUCCGGGGUGUGCCCCCCCCCCUCACGGACGGCGCUGCCGCCGGCACCUGGAGGGGGAAAACGGACGCGUGGGGUCUACACGGAGGGGAUCUUGCUGUGGGUCUGGCCCGGAUGUUGCUCCAAAGUGUUUCUAUGGGUUGAACUAACACAACCGGGUGGGGAGGUCCACUGGUCAAAGCCCGUCCGUGCAAAGUCAAAGGGCUAGAUCCCAUGGUCAAACGCUACAGGGUUAGGCGGGACGGGGGCACUCGGGGGGUAACAAUGCCACUGGAGCAUCGCACCGGGCCCUUAUACAUGCGGGGUGAUGUGGUGGCAUGUCCGAAGAGGCGGGACGCGUCUCCAGGGCGUGCCCCCCCCUCACGGACGGCGAUGACACGGUAGUAGACGUUCUGCGGUAACGAUGCGACAGAGGUGGAACGUNNNNNNNNNNNNNNNNNNNNNNNNNNNNNNNNNNNNNNNNNNNNNNNNNNNNNNNNNNNNNNNNNNNNNNNNNNNNNNNNNNNNNNNNNNNNNNNNNNNNNNNNNNNNNNNNNNNNNNNNNNNNNNNNNNNNNNNNNNNNNNNNNNNNNNNNNNNNNNNNNNNNNNNNNNNNNNNNNNNNNNNNNNNNNNNNNNNNNNNNNNNNNNNNNNNNNNNNNNNNNNNNNNNNNNNNNNNNNNNNNNNNNNNNNNNNNNNNNNNNNNNNNNNNNNNNNNNNNNNNNNNNNNNNNNNNNNNNNNNNNNNNNNNNNNNNNNNNNNNNNNNNNNNNNNNNNNNNNNNNNNNNNNNNNNNNNNNNNNNNNNNNNNNNNNNNNNNNNNNNNNNNNNNNNNNNNNNNNNNNNNNNNNNNNNNNNNNNNNNNNNNNNNNNNNNNNNNNNNNNNNNNNNNNNNNNNNNNNNNNNNNNNNNNNNNNNNNNNNNNNNNNNNNNNNNNNNNNNNNNNNNNNNNNNNNNNNNNNNNNNNNNNNNNNNNNNNNNNNNNNNNNNNNNNNNNNNNNNNNNNNNNNNNNNNNNNNNNNNNNNNNNNNNNNNNNNNNNNNNNNNNNNNNNNNNNNNNNNNNNNNNNNNNNNNNNNNNNNNNNNNNNNNNNNNNNNNNNNNNNNNNNNNNNNNNNNNNNNNNNNNNNNNNNNNNNNNNNNNNNNNNNNNNNNNNNNNNNNNNNNNNNNNNNNNNNNNNNNNNNNNNNNNNNNNNNNNNNNNNNNNNNNNNNNNNNNNNNNNNNNNNNNNNNNNNNNNNNNNNNNNNNNNNNNNNNNUCUUCGGACAUGCCACCACACCAUCCCGCAUGUAUGAGGGCCCGGUGCGACGCUCCGGUGGCAUUGCUACCCCAGUGUCCCCGUCCCACCUAACCCUGUAGGGUUUGACCACGGUGUCUAGUCCUUUGACUUUGCACGAACGGGCUUUGACCAGUGGAUUUCCCCACCCGGUUGUGUUAGGUCAGCCCAUAGGAACACUUUGGAGCAACAUCCGGGCCAGACCCACAGCAAGAUCCCCUCCGUGUAGACCCGACGCGUCCGUUUCCCCCUUCCAGGUGCCGACGGCGGCGCCGUCCGUGAAGGGGGGCACACCCCGGACACGCGUGCCGGGCGUUUGCAACUGCCACAACACUUCCAGACUUGUGAGAGGCCGCCUACGCAAGAUUUGGCGGCAUGCUAGCCCCCGGAGGCCACCGGCCACAGCCGUAGACGCGCGAAGGGCAAUCCGCGUAGAGGGAAUUUUUCGGAUACUUCUCCAUCACCAAAAAUUAUGAAAAAAUACCAUCGUUCCUAUAUCACAUGUGCCCACCUCGUGCAAAAAAACUCAUGAUUUUAUCACGCUCCGAGUAUUUAGUAAUAUUGACGCCGCAUCGUUACCGCAGAACGUCUACUACCGUGUCAUCGCCGUCCGUGAGGGGGGGCCACGCCCCGGAGACGCGUCCCGCCUCUUCGGACAUGCCACCACACCACCCCGCAUGUAUGAGGGCCCGGUGCGACGCUCCGGUGGCAUUUCUACCCCCCAAGUGCCCCCGUCCCGCCUAACCCUGUAGCGUUUGACCACGCGAUCUAGCCCUGUGACUUUGCACGGACGGGCUUUGACCAGUGGACCUCCCCACCCGGUUGUGUUAGGUCAGCCCAUAGGAACACUCUGGAGCAACAUCCGGGCCAGACCCACAGCAAGAUCCUCUCCGUGUAGACCCGACGCAUCCGUUUCCCCCCUCCAGGUGCCGGCGGCAGCGCCGUUCGUGAGGGGGGUACACCCCGGAGACGCGUGCCGCCUCUUCGGACUUGCCACCACACCAUCCCGCAUGUAUGAGGGCCCGGUGCGACGCUCCGGUGGCAUUACUACUCCCCCACGGCCCCCGUCCUGCCGUGUAGGCCUCACGGGCGUGGGUGCCGCCGUGUCCCGGAGUGGGGAAACGGCCACAUCGGGCCGACACGGAGGGUAUCUUUGGGUGGUUUGGGCCGGAAUGGUGUUGGGGGGUGCAACACAUGCCGUAACAAAAAAAUAAAAAAUAAAAAAAAUGCCGUAACAAAAAAAUAAAAAAAUGCAAAGUAUCUAUGCCGACGGCUUAGCCGUCGGCAUAGCAGCGCACAUGUCCACGGAUCAAUGACGUGGCAAAGGGGCGGGCCUAUGCCGAAGGCCAGGCCGUCGGCAUAGGGCCGACCUUAUCCCCUUGCGGUUCGCCCCCACCACCCAUUCGCCAUCCAUCUCCCCUUCCUCCCCGACNNNNNNNNNNNNNNNNNNNNNNNNNNNNNNNNNNNNNNNNNNNNNNNNNNNNNNNNNNNNNNNNNNNNNNNNNNNNNNNNNNNNNNNNNNNNNNNNNNNNNNNNNNNNNNNNNNNNNNNNNNNNNNNNNNNNNNNNNNNNNNNNNNNNNNNNNNNNNNNNNNNNNNNNNNNNNNNNNNNNNNNNNNNNNNNNNNNNNNNNNNNNNNNNNNNNNNNNNNNNNNNNNNNNNNNNNNNNNNNNNNNNNNNNNNNNNNNNNNNNNNNNNNNNNNNNNNNNNNNNNNNNNNNNNNNNNNNNNNNNNNNNNNNNNNNNNNNNNNNNNNNNNNNNNNNNNNNNNNNNNNNNNNNNNNNNNNNNNNNNNNNNNNNNNNNNNNNNNNNNNNNNNNNNNNNNNNNNNNNNNNNNNNNNNNNNNNNNNNNNNNNNNNNNNNNNNNNNNNNNNNNNNGUCCCCGCCCCGACCUCCAUCGACCCCGCCCCGGCAGCCACUUCGUUCGUGCCUGCCCCUCCGCCGCCUGCUCUGGCCCAUUGUUCGUGCCUGCCCCUUCCCCCGAGCCGGCCCUCCCCCACGGUGAGCUCCCUCCCUCCCUCUCUGUAGAUUUUUUUGAUAAUUUUGUUGUUGUUCAUAGUUAUGUAACUAGAUGGAUGGAUGCAUAGUUAGUUGAUAAAUGAUUUGAUGAUAUUUACAAAUGUGAGAAAUGCAAGAAAAGCAAUUUUUUUAACAAGGGGCAUGACGUUAGAUGAUAGAUUUUUUGAUGAUAGUUGCAAAUGUAUGAUGAUUGUUACAUGAUAGAUGAUGAUGUUAAUGAUGAUAGAUGAUGAUGUUGAUGAUAGAUAAUGAUUUUUUUGCGGAAGAGAUGAUAUAGGAUGUUGAUUUUUAUGAUUCGAUGAUUGUUAGAUGAUGAUGAUGAAUAUAUUGUGAUGUACUUAAUUAUUGUCACGGUGCAGGUUCUGUGGUGUUCCAUCUCAGUGGAGUGAUCGUCGUAGGAGUUGUUGGUCCCCGGUUGUCCCUCCGGUGUUCGGCUACUUCCUCUACAGCCGAGGGUGAGCUACGAAUCAUGUGACUAGAUUUCAUUCUCAAGUCAACUGACGUAACCUAGGCGUCUCCCGUUCGAAAGGGUUGCAUCGAUAAAUAUGCAUUCAAUUGCAUAUUUAUCACUGCAGCUCUUUCGGAUUGUCCAGCGUUUUCCAUGGACAGCCCGAGAAUGUGUAGAUUGGGUAUGUUCUCCAUGUUCUACCCCAUUCCAAGACAGGAUUUCGGCGGCGCCUCCCCAUUGUUCUCCGGAGCACAUUCUCUCGGCUAUUUGCCGAGACGUGUAUCUGGAGAACAGCGGGGAGGUGCUGCCGAAAUUUUUAUCUCGGAACGGGGUAGAAUGGAGAACGUACUCAAUCUACACAUCCUCGGGUGGGAUUAGGACCCAUCUUUACCUACUGGAGAUGUAGGUGGAUUAAAUGCGGUAGAAACUGAAAAUUUGAUGUGAUUAAUUUAAGUGAAUCCUUAAUUAUGUUGUGUGGGUUGCAAAAAAGCAGAGGAUGGCAGAUAAUUAGUGGAUGUACAGUGGUUUUAUCCGUCGGAAUCGAGUAACAUCAGAGUGGAUCACGAAAACCGAUGUGUAUUUGAAGGAGAUAUUCCGUCAUCCAAUGAGAAUUAUCCCACCAUGCCCCUAUGCGAGAUGUGCUAGACGUCACCGUGGAAAUCAGACGGACAUGAGUGAGCACCUUGGCACGCACGGAUAUAUGCCAAACUUUGACAUGCCGUCGAUAAACAUAGCCGAGCAGGACCAUGGUAGAGAGGAGGUGAUGCGACAACGCAUCGAUGGAUAUGAGGACGACGCGGUCAGGGACAUGCUAGAUGAUGUCAUUGUUGUAGAAACGGCAAAUGCGACACCUUCAGAGAAUGAACCGGAGGAGCCGGAGGCAACCGCAAAGGCCUUCUUGGAGGUCUUGGCCUCGUCGAAGAAACCUCUUUAUGCGGGGGCGAAAAUAUCUCAGCUGGAUGCCAUCUCGCAACUGAUUGCAGUCAAGGUUGAGUACGGCUGUAGCCAGAAAUGCUUCGAAGCAUUCCUGGGAGUAUGGGCUAACAACCUCCCUGAGGGUCAUGAACUGCCGAAAAGCAUGUACGAUACAAAGAAAAUCAUGAAGGCACUCUCUAUGGAUUAUGAGAAAAUAGAUGUUUGCCCGAAGAAUUGCCUUUUGUUUAGGCACGAGUAUGCGGAUGACAAGUACUGUAGGAAGUGCGGUUCGUCUCGGUACAUUGAGGUGGUCGGUGAGGAUGGUGAGUAAAAGCAGCUAACCAUCCCCGUUAAGGUUCUUCGGUAUCUUGAUUUUAUAAAAAGACUGCAGCACCUUUUCAUCACGAAGGAGUCUGCCAAAAUGAUGAAGUGGCACAAGGAAGGUAUAAGGUACAAUCCAAAAAAAAUCGUACAUCCAUCGGGAGGGGAAGCAUGGAAGUCAUUCGAUAAAGAAUACCCCGAGGAAGCAGCCGAGGCUGGGAAUGUCAGAAUAGCCAUAUCAGGUGAUGGGUUGAAUCCAUAUGGUAUGUCGUCCAAUCCAUACAGCUGCUGGCAUGUGUUUGUAAUUCCGCUCAAUCUUCCUCCCGGUGCCCUAAUGCAACGGAAGACCAUGUUCUUGUCGCUCAUCAUUCCGGGGCCUGACUACCCGGGGAAGCAAUUGGGUGUGUUUAUGCAGCCGCUUGUGGAUGCUUUGCACCAUUCUUGGUACUUUCCGAGGUUGACAUACGACCGGGAUCUGCAGAGAAAUUUCUUGAUGAAAGUUUGGUUGCACUAUUGCAUGCAUGACUUUCCCGGCUAUGCUCUAUUCUGCGGAUGGUGUACAAGUGGUAAGAUGCCAUGCCCGGUGUGCAUGCAGGCUCUGCGAAUGAUUUGGCUGAGUAAGGGUGGCAAGUAUGUAGCCUUUGACCUGCAUCGACAGUUCCUCCCUCCAGACCAUACAGACAGGGAAGACAAGAAGAACUUCAUGAAAGGCCGGGUUGUUCAUGAAGUAACCGAGAUUCCAACAUUUUUGGGGGCAGAUGUUCUUGCUCAGCUAAAAGCUCUCAAGCCUAAAGUCAAAGACAAAGGCAAAGCCAAAGCCAAAGGCUUCGAGGGAUAUGGUGAGACGCACAACUGGACGCACAUUACCCCCUUCUCGCAGCUUCCCUAUUUCAAGGACCUCAAACUUCCUUACAAUAUUGAUGUGAUGCACACCGAAAAGAAUGUGGCAGAGUCCCUUUUCCACACGAUCCUCAACAUUCCUGAUAAGACGAAGGAUAACGUAAAAGCUAGAGCCGAUCAACAGAGAAUUUGUGAUAGACCACGCCUGAACAUGAAGCCUCCCACAGGCGGUCGAAAAAACUGGUUCAAGCCAGAUGCUGACUUUGUCCUUAAACCGCCAGAAAAAAAAAGAAGUACUUAUCUGGCUGAAACAAAUUUUGAAGUUCACCGAUGGUUAUGCAUCGAAUAUAAGUAAGGGAGUUAAUCUUUCAACGGGCAAAGUGACCGGCCUGAAGAGUCAUGACUACCAUGUAUGGAUUGAGCGGAUAAUGCCGGUGAUGGUUCGACACUAUGUCCUCGAGCAUGUCUGGCGAGUGCUUGCCGAGCUUAGCCAUUUCUUCCGCACACUCUGUGCUAAAGAAGUAAGUAAAGAGGUGAUUGAAAAAUUGCAUAAGAAGGCACCGGAGUUGAUAGUCAAGCUAGAGAAGAUCUUUCCGCCAGGCUUCUUUACUCCGAUGACACAUCUCAUUCUGCACCUCGCGAACGAGGUAUUGUUGGAGGGCCCUGUGCAAAAUCGCUGGCAGUACGGCCCUGAGAGGCAGAACAAGCAUCUCCGAUGGAAAUGUGGAAACAAAGCUAAGAUUGAAGCUUCCAUAGCUGAGGCAGUUAUCCUAGAGGAGGUGUCAGACCUCAGGACAUCAUACUAUCCAGACCAUGUUCCCCAUCUGCAUAACAAGGUGCCUCGAUACAAUAUAGAAGAGCCCAAGUAUCAACCCAGGCUCGAUCUAUUCAACGCGCAAGGUGGGAGGGCUGGGGCCUCGAAAUCUUAUAACAUGCCACGACAAGAGUGGGAGGACCUCAUGUUCUAUAUCUUGCACAACAUCAAGGAAGUUGAGGAAGUGUGGAUGAGGUAAUACCACUACACCAUUCCUUUAUGUCUUCCACAUCAUCAUGUUUCAUGUUCACUUAGUCCCGGUCUAACACCGCUUAUCUUUUUUUAGUGAUUUCGUUCAAGAGGAAUGGAUGGGAGUGAAUCCUCCUACUGAGGCGGGGCACUUACUCUUCUCCGUCAUGGAAACCCUGGACGUAAAAAUUUUGUUGCUUGGUUCAUGGAGAAAGUAAUUUUCCACACUCCCCUAUUAAAUACCUACUUCAACAUUUAUUAGUUAACCAAAUUAAUGCAAGCAACAAUUUCCAUUAUACUUGUAGGGAAAAGAUCCGAACAUAUCUAUGGAUGAUGAAUUGAGAUGGGUUUCCAUGGGUUUUGACCCUGCCGUCAUGACAUGUAAAAAGUAUGAUGUGAAUGGGUAUCGCUUCCAUAUAGAGGAGCACCAAAACAGCCGCCCCGAUCCCAAAACUAUAAAUACUGGAGUGUACACCCCCGGUCAAAAUUCAGUAGACUACUACGGAAGGGUACAAAAUAUAUACGAGGUUAAAUUCCGCCGGGGGCGUGAGACCCUAAGUCUGCCUGUGUUCAAAUGCCGAUGGUUCGAUCCGUGGGAGGGGGUAAAACAUACGCCUUCCAUUGGUUUGGUCAAAGUUAAACCAUCAACCAUCUAUGCCAGAGCCGAUCUCUUCAUUGCGGCUACCCAAGCUACACAAGUAUAUUAUCUGCCUUACCCAUGCCAGAAAGUGUAUCUAAAGGGUUGGGAAGUUGUGUUCAAGGUGUCGCCACAUGGUAAGCUACCAGACCCGAAUGAAGACGAUUACUACAACAUUAACCCCAUGACAUACGAGGGAGUGUUCUAUCAAGAGCAACCUGAUGAUGAUGAUGAUGAUGAUGUGGUUAGAAACGAUGACGCUAGACCAUUGGGUGAUGAUGAUGUGGACCCAAACGUCGACGAUGCACGGAAUGAUGGUGAGACCAUUGUCAAUGAAAAUGACAUACUUAUGCUAGAAAAGUUAAACGAAGACGUUGACGACGAGGAAGAGCCUCCACCUCCGUCGGACAAUGAAGAUGAUAUGAUUGAUAGUGAUGAUGAGACGGACCGAGAAAGAGGUUACAACAGUGAUGAUUCAUAUGGGUUCUAGCAGAUGUACGUUUCAAGUAUUUUUUUCUAUAGUUUAGGAAUAUGCCUUUUUAUGCCUUUUUAUUAAUGUGUUUAUUAUCAUGCCUUUUCCUUCAUUUCAUUAAUUUACUAAUUGCUUUUUAUCUUUUCAAUGCAGGUUCGUGGAACAUGGGCAAGGGGAAGGCCGACGGCGUGGGUUUCCUACGCAAGGUCGUCGGCCUGCCUAGUCGGAGUGGUCGAGCAGGUAAUCCUCCCCCUCGGCUACUUGACGAUGACUCCUCACAGGGAGGUCGAGGGAGAGGUGCCCCUAGAGGAGGAGGGGCGGGGGGAGAGCCUCUAGAGGACGAGGUGCUGGGGGAGAGCCGCUACAGGGGGUCGCGGCCAGAAAGAGCGCACCCUCACCGACUUAGGGGUGUUGUCUUCGAGGCCCUCCUCUAGUGAGGUACACUCUAGGGAGGAGGAGGAGGAGGAGGUGGUGGUGGAGGAGNNNNNNNNNNNNNNNNNNNNNNNNNNNNNNNNNNNNNNNNNNNNNNNNNNNNNNNNNNNNNNNNNNNNNNNNNNNNNNNNNNNNNNNNNNNNNNNNNNNNNNNNNNNNNNNNNNNNNNNNNNNNNNNNNNNNNNNNNNNNNNNNNNNNNNNNNNNNNNNNNNNNNNNNNNNNNNNNNNNNNNNNNNNNNNNNNNNNNNNNNNNNNNNNNNNNNNNNNNNNNNNNNNNNNNNNNNNNNNNNNNNNNNNNNNNNNNNNNNNNNNNNNNNNNNNNNNNNNNNNNNNNNNNNNNNNNNNNNNNNNNNNNNNNNNNNNNNNNNNNNNNNNNNNNNNNNNNNNNNNNNNNNNNNNNNNNNNNNNNNNNNNNNNNNNNNNNNNNNNNNNNNNNNNNNNNNNNNNNNNNNNNNNNNNNNNNNNNNNNNNNNNNNNNNNNNNNNNNNNNNNNNNNNNNNNNGCGAGGAGGAGGAGGAGGAGGAGGUUGGAGAGGAGGUUGGGGAGGGGGAGGCAGGCGAGGAGGAGGGUGGUGGCGGGGAUGAUGGUGGUGAUGGGAAGGGGGUUGACAAGAAGUGGUGGCUGCGUGGUAACGCAAAGCUACCAAAGCAGGUUCCGGCUACUGAGGAGCAGAAGUGGCUCAUUGAGCCCACGGGAAAAGAGUAAGUGGUUCAUUAUUUUGCUUGUCACAUGCUUAUUCUGGUUGUUCUUUAUUUUGCUUGUCACAUGCUAAUAGUUCGUUCUUUUGCAGCAACUGGAUAUAUUCUAAAGGGGUCCGUAUUCCCAACGGCCUCAUCACCGUCUUGCUGAAGUUAUACUGGUCGGGGUUGUACUGUCCGGAUCCAGUCAGGCAGCUGGCUCGUCGGGUUUUGGCCACGAGCUGGGACCACUGGGAAGCGGCCCGCUACGCGGACCAUGAGACCCAUGCCAAGGCCGUGAUCACUACUUUCUGGGUGAGUUCUCUUCAGAAGAACAAGUCCAUUCUAGUUUCAUGAAAAUGAUUUAACUCGUGGCUUCUUCCAUUCUUAUUUCAUGCAUGAUUGUAGAAAUUCUAUCGAGUUCUUCCGGAGCACAGGGCUAGAGCGGACCAGAUCGUGCUGCGACAAUGCAAGAAGAAGGCCCGCCAGAUGCAGUACGAGGUGCGCUAUGUGGCCAUCUCCACAUACUACCACGACUAUCUUGGUGUGAAGAUGACCAAGGAAGAAGCGCGGAGGAUGGGCAUUACCUUGGAGAGGCCCGAGUUCUUGGCGGUAAGUAUAAAAGAUUUUUCAUUAUGCUUUCAUAUAUUAUGCUUUCAUUAUGCUUUCAUUACCUUGUGGUACAUUAUGCUUUAUGCUUUAUGCUUCCAUAACAUCAAUUUGGACACACCUACAUGCCAUUAUGCUUUUAUUAUGUAGGUGUGUCCAAAUUGGUGUUAUGGAAAAGACGAGUCCUGGGCGGCAUUGGUGGAUCUUUGGUGUGAUGAGGCUGGAGCCUGGGCGGCUAUGAGAACCAAAAAUAAGGCUAACCGAGGGACGGAGGGAGUACAUGCUCAGGGAAACCGAAACCACUAUCUCCACAAGGCAGUUAAUGUAUGACUAACCCCAUUAAACAUUCUUCUUCUUCUAUUUACCAUCACUUUCUUAUGUAUGACUAACCUCUGUUUGGUGGUGCAGGAGGAGAAACUGAAGCGGCCGCUCUCACACAUGCAGGCGUGGGAGAUCGCCCAUACGCGGAAGGACCCCAAGCCUGGCGAGCCCAAGUACUACGGCAAGAAGACCACAGGGAGGAAGAAGGCCUACUCCGAAGCGUAUCUGAAGUUACAUCCUGACACACCUGACCCUAUUGCGGCGCCUCUGAAUGACAUGGCGGUGGUGAGGAUGGGGCCCAAGGAGCACGGUCGGGAGGCGGUUCUCGAUGCUGUGAUCGCUCCUAGUAUCUCCUACACACAGCUUCGUCGGAUCGACCCGAGCCUGAGCCAGCGCACGAGCCAGCCAGUGACCAGUACACAGUCCCUCUUUCAGGAGCAACAAUCUGUAAGUAUUUUCCCUCUUAUCUUCAUUGCUCACUUUAUUUUCCGCAUUUAGUAGUUUUAUGAGUUCCAUCAUGUCAUACCGUAGGCCUACCUGGAGUACACACGCCAGGAGACCAUGGCGUGGCAUCAGAGGCUUUAUGAACACCAAGUGUAGAGGGAUAGCCAGAUGCAGCAGGCUUUUCAGGAUAUGGCGGCCGGCAGGUGUCCUCAGUUCCCUCCAGCACAAUGCCCUCCAGCACAACCAGUGCUGAUGAGCUUUGAGGAGUUUGUGGCACAGAACGUUGGCCCCUCGCCGGUUAGUUCAUCCCCAAUCUAUUCACCCAAAGCAUGUCAUGCCUUUCAACACAAUCAUAUAUCCCGUGCAUAUGUCUUUUCAACAUCCAGGAAACAGGUGGAUCUACCGUUGGCGGUGGUCUUCGUAGCACUCCGGAGACACGGAGCCCGACCACUCCUAUCCACGGAGGCGGAGGCGGAGGUGGAUGCGGAGGCGGUCUUGGCGGUAGCGCUGCCGCUAGCAGUGACGACCUGGGCUUCGGCCGUCUUGGCGAUGACGACCUCCGCGGUGCUCGAUGAUCCUUGUGUGUGGUGAUGAUGCUUGAGAUGACUUGUGUGUGGUGAUGAUCAUUUAGAUGACUUGUGUGCUUCUCUAUAUGCUUAUGCUUAUGUUGGUUGUGAUGAUGUUCAUUUAGAGACUUGUGUGUGAUGAUGCUUAUGCAUAUAUUGUUGUGAUGGUGUCGGAUGAUAUCCCGUUGUGUUUUAUAUGUCUAUCCCAUCAUAUAUAUCUGCUCAUAUGUGCUGUUAUUUGAAUUGAAUUGAUUUGAAAACAAACACUAAAAAGAAAAAAAAAGAAAAAGCAAACUAUGCCGACGGCUAGGCCGUCGGCAUAGGGCUAGUGUGAGCUCCCAGUAGCUGACACGUGGCACCUAUGCCGACGGCCUAGCCGUCGGCUUAGUUUAUGUGCCGACGGCUAGACCGUCGGCAUAGGCGCCCAUGUGUCAGCUACUGGGAGCUCUGUAUGAAGGACUAUGCCGACGGCCCAGCCGUCGGCAUAGCCCUGGUCCACGAGCAGCGGUUGGUCGCCACGUGGCACACCUAUGCCGACGGUCGAGCCGUCGGCAUAGUUUUUGACUAAGCCGACGGCUAGGCCAUCGGCAUAGGGGUGCCACGUGGCGACCAGUCGUUGGGCAGACUUGACGGCAGCCGCCGUUAGGCGUGAUAGUUGCCGACGGCCGCGGCCAUCGGCAUAGAUGUACGGCCCCCGUCGGCGUAUCAUAUAUGCCGACGGCUUUUCUAUGCCGACGGCCUCCCUGGCUGUGCCGACGCAUAUGUUGCCGAUGGCCCUAUGCCGACGGGGGCCGUCGGCAUAGGUCUAUCCCGGCGGGACUCAGGCCUAUGCCGACGGCCCUGGCCGUCGACAUAGGGGGCGAUUCCGGUAGUGUUUAUACCUCACGCUGGCAUCUGAACCCUUGCAUAGUUCGCUCUCCCUUGGUGUUAGUAUACGAGUCAUCACUCCUUAAGCUGAACCCAACGACCCUUGAAUAUAAAUUGUAGAACUGGUAACCUUCGCUUGCUGAACCAAAUAUCAUGCCUACUUCAGGCUUGAACAAGGUUACUGUUUUAUCUUUACUGUAUGCUCUUAUAGACUGCUCCAUUAAAUUUGGUAUUCUCUUCUCUCCGAAAAGAGUAGUUAUACCAUCUGGAUGCAUUUUUCUAAGGAUGUGCAAGGUGUGAUUUAAUAAUAAGUGAAAAACAGGAAUUAGCAUCAAGGACUUUAUGUUGAUCAACAAACCUGUAGCAGUGUGAUUUGCUUGAAGCAUCAUCAUCAUCGUUCUCUACAGCCAUUGAAGAAAAACUACGUAUAGUGGAUGUUUGGUUAGCUGAAGAGGCACAUAACAACUCUCUAUUUUGGUCAUUUUCGAUUAGGGAGGCUGGAUCAUCUUUGUUAUCCUGGAUACAACAUGAUUUAUGGUUGUGUUCCAACCUGCAGACAUUAAAAUAGUUAAGCAUACAUCCGGAUUUACAUUAAGUUAUAUUUAAACGAUAUAUUUUGACAUAUGGAGAAAUAUAGCUUGCCUGGAAUAGUCUGAAUCAUUUGAGUACUCUUCUUCAUCUGAAUUUAUUGGUACAGGUGAAUCUACCAAUGCUAUUUUCUCUUGACAAUCCCCACUGAACAGAUAAACAGAAUAUAUUAUUAUAAUAACAGAAUCUAAGUCGAUUUUAUAGAACAUUUCAAGUGCAAAAUAUUCCACACGCAUUGCUUAGAGUUAUACUUCACUAGCCUGGGCAAGUGUUCACCGUUAGAGUAAUUUAUUUCAUCCGGCUCGAUUGGCACUGUUGAAUCAACCAAAGCAUUGUUCUCUUCACACUGCACUCUGGAAAUGUUUAAAUGGUAGAGGAUAAUAAGAAAAAAGUAUUUAAUUGGAUUCAAGGAAAAGUUCAAAGAAAUUACCUCCCGAUAAUUGAGGGAUCUGCAACACGUAGCAGAUCCAUAAAAGAGCCACCAACAUCUCCGCCAAACACAUCCAUUGAAUUUAAAAGGGGAUAGAACUACACACGAUAGUUGAAGAUCUGUGCCAAUUUAAGUUCUUAGGUGACAUGCCAAAAAUGCUUAGAAGUGCUUAGUUGCCAGCUAGAAAAAAUACUACUUAGUUUCCAGAUUAAAAAGUUCUUAGUUGACAUGCUUAAAAACUGCUCACUUGCCGGGUUAAGUGAUAUGCUGAAAAUGCUUAGUUGACAGGCUAAAAAAUGCUCAGUUGCCCAUAUUAAUUAUAACUACUUGCCAAAAAAACUGAAAAAUCUAGGUAAGUGUACAACAAACACAAAUGGGGGCGCUGAGAGAAAAAGGCAGCACUAAUUACCGGCCGCUAGCUGAAUCCAUGAAAGCAAAAAAACACGCAUCGCUGAGAUGCAAAAAAGUCGGGGAUCCCCUGUGUCCAUCCGACCACCUCUUUCUCCUUCCCCCACUAUAGUGGCUCUUGCCCUUGAUGCCCAGCAGGGAGCAGAUCCCAUGCCCUCUCGGCCCCUGAUGGAUGGGGGAUUUGGAUGAGCUACAGAAAAAAUAGAAGCAAGCAUGGGAGGAGGAAGAAAUAAUAAAGAAAAAUAUGCAGUUCACUAGCGAUUGAACGGACGCCACGCCGCCGCACCGUAAGACACGCGUACGCACACUUCUGCUUAGUUUCCCAAAUAUACGAAAGGAAGGACAGAUCAAGAGCUAGUACAUAUAAAGACCAAAUUGAAAUAUCAUAGGUUGCAGCAGGGUUUGGAUCUAGAUAGAACUCGAAGAUUUCUAGCAGUAGACACGAACCUGAGAUCUUGUUUCGAUGUCCUCGGGCAUCAAACAAUACAUAAACACAGUGCUUCCUAAAUAAAUGGACGAGAUUUCUACACAGAGCUAUUCCAUGGUGGGUGAUGGGAGGAGGAAGAACGUCUCGCAGUCGCAGCAAUGGUGGAAUAAUGGUUCCGCCCAAAACGCGUUCUGGACAGGUAGCUAGAAGGGAGUGGCAUUUACGUUCUUGGGCUCAGAACAGUGUUUUAUCUGUUCCCCAUUAAUGCGUGUAUCUGACUAGGUUGGUGAGGUAUUGUACAGAACAACACCAAAAUAAAUGUUUUAGAAUAAUUUAGACUCUAAUCCAGGCGGGCAUCUCAGUGCCACAGUGAACGGCUGGAGCAUGCACUGGAGCUCCCGUGCAUGGGAGAAAAUCCACUCUCAGCUCUUGGGCUACCGCUACCCACGAGGAAACGUCCAGAGCUACAACUGUCGUUUUGUUUUGGCGAGCACUCAAUUCCUAGGGCAGUUCUGCAUGUGGCUCUCGUUGGAAAAGGAACGAAAAUGGUAGUACCAGUAACUGUUUGCCUCUAAUGUAGCAUCUGCGGGAAGUGAAAUGAGCCUACGGCGGCAGCACGAGCCACCGAGGUCCUCUCAGCAUCUCCGGGGUGCAGUGCAGAUCGAGAUGGGUGUUUAUGACAACGGGGCCGGCUAGCCAUGGCGAACUUGUCGACGGACACACUGGAGGGCACGGAGACGGAGGUGGUCAAGCUGGACCAUGUCUUGUGCGGUGGUGCCGGCCGGUGUUCGACGCCAGCACCCUGAGGGAUUGGUUGAGUUCGUCAUGGCUUCUUUUGUCAUGUUUUGUAGCAGUAUUUACUUUCUAGUUGCUCAUAUAUACUCCUAGAUGAGUAGAGAAUGCUACCCUCUCUGUAAACUAAUAUAAAAGCAUAUAGAUCACUAUUUUAAUAUUUUAAAUGCUUUUAUAUUAGUUUACGAAGGAAGUAUAAACGUUGGCACUACACUCUCACGGUACAACUAAAUGGCCACAUCAGUUGGCAUGUGAUGCUUGGUGAACAAUUGAUGUCCUAGCCACACAAAACAUUUCACUCGCUGCUCUUAUAUAUCUACCAGCUUCACCAUGUAGCAGUAUCACGUUUAGUUGCAACGGGAGAAUGCCGAAGUAUAGGGAGAGAGCAAUCGUUAUGGGCAAGCAAGGGGAAUGGCACCCGCGGUCACACAGCAUGAUCUAGCAGGGAAUGGGAUGUGUUGGCAAUUUCUUUCGAAGACAUGUAAAAACAGAGAAUCCAUGAAAGAGCACCGGAACUUGCAAGUGAAGAAAACCUUGCGGCUCAAUGUUGAUAAUUCCGUGCAUUUCAUCCUAGAGAGUUGAGCGGCUCUACGUUUCAUCAUCAGGCGACAUUAGUUGGUCGAGCUAAGCAUGAGCCCAGUCUUUCGAGUGUUAGGUUGAUCCCCUCCCGUUCGAACCCAACGGGUCGAACGGACCCCUGACUCGCGUCCUCAUUUGGGGGCGCCCAACCCUCAUAUGGUUGGUGGACCCCUGUGACCCGCGCUAUAUUAACAGAGGUGGGGGCCGGGGCACGGGAUAUGAAGUUCACCACCGCCACAAACCCUACCGAUAUUCCCUACCGAUCUAGGGUUAGUGCGGUGCUCACGGGAAGCAGCCACCACCUCGACGUCUCCCUGUCAUCGCCGUCGUCACCAUCCCACCAGGGCCAACGGCGGGAGCUCCUCAGGCCAAGGCGAAGGUAGGACUACAGGAAAGGACGUGGAGUUUCUACACCCAGGAGCAAAUGCUCCUGGUGUGAACAGUAAAAUCAAACAAAUUCAAAAACAAUUCAAAAAAUUCUGAAAUUUUUUUGUGCCAUACUUUCACAAAUGUUUGUUGUGCCUACAAAAUUUCAUCGCAAAAUCACAUUGAUGGAAGGCGUGGUAAAAAAAACAAAAUCGAUGCUCUGAAAAUGUUACUUACAAAAGCAUUUUGGAGCUCUGAUUUUGUUUUUUUUUUGACACGCCUUCUACCAAUGUGAUUUCGCAAUGAAAUUUUACGUGCACAUCAAACAUUUGUGAAAGUAUGUCACAAAAAAAAUUCAGAUUUUUUUGAACUUUUUUCUAGUUUUUUUAAUUUUACUAUUUAUACCAGGAGCAUUUGCUCCUGGGUGUAGAAAGGUACUUCCGUACGGGAAUUCACUAGCCUACUCUGAUCCAGGGGAUCUAACAAUGGUAUCAGACCAUGCUAGGCUAAGUUUUUCGAUACAAAGAAUAUACAGAGAAAGAAAGAUCNNNNNNNNNNNNNNNNNNNNNNNNNNNNNNNNNNNNNNNNNNNNNNNNNNNNNNNNNNNNNNNNNNNNNNNNNNNNNNNNNNNNNNNNNNNNNNNNNNNNNNNNNNNNNNNNNNNNNNNNNNNNNNNNNNNNNNNNNNNNNNNNNNNNNNNNNNNNNNNNNNNNNNNNNNNNNNNNNNNNNNNNNNNNNNNNNNNNNNNNNNNNNNNNNNNNNNNNNNNNNNNNNNNNNNNNNNNNNNNNNNNNNNNNNNNNNNNNNNNNNNNNNNNNNNNNNNNNNNNNNNNNNNNNNNNNNNNNNNNNNNNNNNNNNNNAGAGGAAAAGAAGGGCAAAGAAAAGUGCGCCGCCGCCGAGCUGCGCCGUUCCUCUCGAUCUCAAUGCGCAUCGGCAAGCCGAGUCAUCGAGAAGAAGAACAUCACCCCUUUUGGGGGCAGAGACCACGCGGUCGCCGACGCAGGGCGAGGAAUACCGCGAGUGGGUCGGCGAGGCCGUCCAUGGCCUUCUGUUGAGGAGCCCGACCUUGUCGGGCGGCAGGUCAGACGUGGCCUCGGUGCCCUCCGGCAGCCCCUCCACGGCCGGCAGCGGCAGCAGCACGAACCGGAGGCGGGAGGAUAGACCGGCCGGCAUGGGCGGGAGCCUGGCGAGAUUACGGGGCAUGGACACUACUGGAAAAAUCAUCAUUACCGAGUACAUUUCCUGAUUUCCGUUUGCCGAGUACUGGAACACUGGAUCACGGUAAAAACAACGUAAGCCGAGUGCGGUUCUCGACAAACGACAGGACACGGCACAUGGGAAGUACUGCCGAGCCCUGUGUUGGACGUACUUGGCAAACAAAAAGGAACUCGACUUAUGCAUAGUAUGCCGAGAACCUAGUGGAAAGCACCCCGCAAAUAUGAGCCAUGUGGCACGGCCAUUUGCAGCUGACGGCCCGGCGACCAUGUGCAAUGUUGGCCGAGACCCCGAUGAUAGGUACUCCGCAAUCUAUGAGGUAUUUAAACUACCCAAACCCUAGCCGCUGCUCACAUUGUAUUGACGAUUGGGGCAGGUCGCCGUUGUCCCUGUGUGGUUCCUCGCCGCCGCAGGGUCUAUACCCACCGGCCGUCGCCGAUCCAGCGUCGUCCGAGGCUGCUCGGACCCUUCACCGCACGCUCCGUCCCCCAAGCUCGUCGGCGGCCACAACACCGCCCUUACAACCUCGUCGUCGGACACCUUUUGUUGCCGGCCACCUCUACCACCUCGACGCACCAACCCCAAGGUGAGCUAGCUAGGGCCUCCCCUUUCGAAGGCACGUGCGGAGAUGCAUCCGGUUUGUGAAGGGGAUGUGGGGCCCGUUCCUCCAUUGGCCUUGAAACUUGUCGCGCUCGUGAGGUUCUAUUCAAAGGAACAUGCCAUGUCGUGGACUUUUUCGGGGGCCACCAGUCAUAUUCCAUGCAUUUCCAAGGGUUUAUGCAGGAAAUUCACUCUAGAGGGGAUAUUAACAUGAAUGCCUAGCAACCAAGCAAGAACAUCGUUCUAGUUCUCGUCUAAUCUAUAGAGCGACUCACAACAUAAUUGUUGCAGAGCGAAGCCAUGAAAAUUGGAACUAGCAAAUCAUCGAGAAUCGAAUCAAAUGGUCUUUCCGCACUUAAGAUGAUCACCGUUUGACCAUCAAUAAUCAAUUAAAAAUUCAAUGAUCUUUUGUACUCAAUUUUUUUGGUAAGUUACACAGAGGGUCUGGUGUCACGAUGUGUCUUUCGUUUGUCAUACUGAGCUGGAAAUCAAUCAACACGUCCACGUCGUUGGUUGAGUUCAUAGUGGCUUCUUUGUCAUGGCUUGAAGCAGUAUUCGCUUUAGGCUUGAUCAUAUAUAGAUGUGUGAUGAGCGCAACAAAUGCUGACAACUAUACCAUUUAUGGUAGAAUUGAAUGGCCACAAUGAUUGAUGGCAUGUGGUGUCUGGUGAAAAAAUGAUGUCCUGGCACACACAACGUUUCACUCCCUGUUCUUCUAUAUACACUAGAUGACCAGUUGCGCCAAUGGCGCAAAGGCCGAGAGCAAGCCAUGUAUUGUAAGAGUAUACAUUAAUAUUAUUCGGGCGUGAACAAACUGCAGAAUUAUAUAUAUGUAUACAAUCAGAACAACCAUAUCUGUAGCAAUAAAAUGGCAACACCAUAUCUGUAGCAAUAUAUGUAUGUAGUCUUAUAGGACCUUGUUCAACCAACCGGACUGAUGACAACCAACUAUGAGCUGGGACAACCGGUGUAAUAUAUGUAUGUAGUCUUAUAGGACCUUGUUGUAAAAGGCUCUCAAGUAUUUAAGAGCUUCAUGUGCCAAUCGAGCCUUCUUAGAGUUUUCCAUAGACAGAUGGGACAUUGAUUUCUUUGAAAGUACCUUGAAACAAAAGCAGAACAAAAGUACAGACAAUUCCAAGUCAAAUGUAAACAUACCAUAUGAACCGGAGAAAAUAGAUACCAAUGGAUUAAAUAAGCAAUGGAUGCAAAAAUAUGUGCUCUAGGGCUGAACUUAUUUAGAAAGCUAAUAACCGAACUAUAUGUGUGAGCUAGUAAUCUCUCCCAUAUAAUUUCAGAUAUACUGAAAAGGAAAUAUUCUACCUCAUAUCUUCUAUAAACCUCUAAAACAUAGGAAAGAGACACAAGAAUAUAUGACUUACCGAAGGAAUUUGGCGAACUUGCUUACGCUUUCAAUCUUUCAACAACUUUGAAGACCACAUACAUACACAUGGAUAAAAUCAUCACAUAUACAAUCAGAACAAAACCAUAUCUGUAGCAAUAAAAUGGCAACUAACAUGAGGUUGUGCUACCUGUAAAUAAAGCUAAGUAUUAAAGUUCCAACCAUUAGCUAGUUGCAUAAUCUAUAAGAGGCUGGAGUACAUAUGACGAUUCAAAGAAAUAGGGUAACUCUGUAAUAACAACAUGCCAGCAAAAGCUGAACCCAAGAACAAUCCCUAAAAAUCAAAAAAUAUUGUGCAUCUCUACUUUUCUUUGAUUCUUUUACAUCUCCUUUCAGAUUUUACUAUGAUUGAGGUGUGUUAAUUUGAUCAGUCAUACAGAACCAAAGAAAUGUAGGUGCCCUUAAUACUCAAAUAAGGAUAAAUUGGAGAGGUAAGAAUGAGCUCCUGGUAUUCAUUUUAGGUAUUAAGAAAUAAGCUAUUGAGAAUAUGUAAUGAAUAUAAAGAUGGUGAGGACUUCAAUAAACAUAAUGAACCUCAGAACCGGAAGGGCCAUUUUCAUUGGCAUGCCGAAAGAAAUGUUGUGAGCAAUUCUAACAUGCUAAAUCAGACUGACAUGUAUCGCCUACUUGCUAAUGACAUCUACUUUUGAGCUCUGAUGUAAGCAUGGUAAAACAGCUCAUAGUACAUAGAGUCUUGGAAGUGGGCUACAGGAGCAGUGCACAAGGAUGAUUGAAAUACCUAGGUAUUUAGUCACAGGAGCUUGUCCCUUGCCUUUCAUUGCGGAUAUAGGAUUGUUCAUCUAUUAAUCAUGUAAUAGUCAGACAAUGCAAAGGAGAGAAUGCAGGGAGAAAUAGUAACAAUCAUACAACGCAAAGCGUGUACAGGGCAACAAGAAUGCCUCUCAUCAGGACGCAUUAGGCAAAGGUAACUAAAUGGAAUACACAGAUGCCAAAAGCCAUGACUACAACAAUGUUAGAUUAGGCGGUGGCUGCAGCUGGUCAUUAGUAAUCAUUAUACAUGAGUACCUUAAAUCGAUUGAAAUAGAAGGAAAUGUAAGGUUAUUUACAUUGAUAUAUAUUGUUCAAAUGGACGAUCCACAAGGAAAGACAAAAAAAUUGUGAAGCAUGUCAUAAGUGGCACAAAAGCAUUGUAAACUUUGCUCGAGGAAAUUGUAUAUCUGAAGAAGUCCAUUACCCGAGUAUAACAUAAAUGAAGUUGGUGUUCAGUUUAAAUUUCUACCAAGCAAAUGUAAGGUGUUGAUGAAGCUGAAACAAAAUUAGGGGCAACAGCGAUUAAUUAACCGAUUAAUUAAUCCAUCCUGUAGUUUUCAGUUUUCACCAACUUGUCCAUCUAUCCAUAAGACUACAUGGAACUGAACCGAAGGUAAGGAUCUGAACCAAGAAUAGCAACGUAGACAAAAGCAAGAUUAAACAUCAUUCUUCAGUCCUCAAGGGUACAUGCAUUCUCCUUCCUGACUUCGGCUUCCUGCUCUGGUGUGUAGUGUUCUCUAAGAUCAGCUACUUCUUACACUCCCCCACUAAGUGAAUAGUAACAAUUUUAAGACGAUAAACCACACAGAUAAUUGGUUCCUAAUUAGAGCAGCUAAAGAAGCAAGUAGCUAACAUUAGUACAUAGAGUCUUGGAAGUGGGCUACAAUAUCAUGGCAAAAUCCAGGAGUACAUCAUUGCUUGUGGUUAGCAUAGUUCUCUCAAAAUUUUCAUGGCUGGUUUGCUACUACUUCCAAUUUUGUCUAUAUUGUAUUAAAUAAGACCCAUCAAAGCAUACCACAAAUGGUUUUCUGUGCAAAAUAAAUAGACCAAAAAAUGAAUGAAACAAAAUAAAUACACAGCCCCUUACGCAUAUAUGCAGAUGAAAGCUUCCAACAAUGAAAUAAUUCCUAGUUUAACCGAAAGGCAUUAGCAUAGGUGAGAACAAAUAUUUUCAGUGAGCUCUAACAAGAACAAAUGGCAGGACCAAGAACAACCUCCAACCGAGGAGAUGACAAGCCAGCAGAGCAAUAGACGAAGACCAAAGACCAGGUGAGAGGACAAAAGCAACCUGCGGCAGCAAAACAAAUGCCUUAGGAGGGUGAAAUAUGAACGAAAAGAGUGUAUAAUCAGCAAACUACAUAGACAAUAGGCUAAUUAUGCUUGCAAUCAGUAUAAAUAUAAUUAGCAACUACUCCCUCCGUCCGGAAAUACUUGUCGAAGGAAUGGAUGUAUCUAGACAUAUCUUAGUUUUAGAUACAUCCAUUUUUAUUCAUUUUUCCGACAAGUAUUUUAGGACGGAGGGAGUACUAUAUAUCCAUUACUUGAAUGGAAUCAUGAGCCAUUUUCAUGCAUCGUAAAUACGACGGCUGCCCCUCUUGACUCUUUUGUGCCUCAUCUCAUGACUAAUUCUACUAAUCAGUGACUUGGUUCAGUUGCUGUCUAAAUCAAGACAAUUGCAUGAAAGCACAACACAGUACAUCCUAAUGUAAGAUAUUUUAAGUUUUUAACUAAUACCAGCAAGCACCCUGUCAAUUUAUGAUUAUCUAAGAAAAACAACACGCCUGAAACACGGUAGGCACAUCAACUAAACUGAGGCACACAUAUCUGUCGGCACGGUGGCACAGUCACAUUUAAAGAAUUAAUAAUUAUGAAAAGCCUGUAAUGCAUGUCACAACUAUAAAUACUCUGUUCUCACCUAAAACUAUCAGAACAGAGACAAAUAAGAACAGAGUUGCCAAUAUAAAUGCAGGUCAAUGCAGAACACAACAGGUGAAUAUUUCCAACGACAAGCAAACAUAUCCGUCUAGCCCGACACAGCAUAUUCAACAUAUCAUACAACCACUUACGCAAAUAGUUACAUCAGUCUUUCAUAAAGUGGACUGGAAAUCAGGGAAAUAGACAUGGAAUAUUUCUCUAUAGCUACACGGUUUUGAAAUAUUUUUCUUCUUGAAGCUAACCAAGCCCGCUGUCCUUUUUUUAGCUGAAGAUAAAUCCGUCGGUUUGAAGUAGAAAAGCAAUGACUAAACCUAAAGAUCCAAGCGAAGGACCAUCUACUUUUUAUAACUAAUCAAUCCACCCAAACUAAAUUACUUUCUUACCUGUUUCAAUGGAACACAGUAAACAUUUUCCAUUGCACUCUUGCUCCAAGCUUACAAACCCUACAUAUUUUAGGUGCUGCAUCCCUCUGAUAUUGUUGCAUAGGUACUUAAACAGCAGCCUAGUAAGAAUACUGAUUGGCUAUAUUCAGGCUAAACUCUAAAGCAUUAAUCUAAGCCUCCACUUUGUGUGCACCUUCUCAUUAUAUUUAUGCUCAUUUAAUGGCAGUGCAACAUCCCAUUUUGAAUGCUAGCUAAGAAUACCCAACUAAUCAGACCUAUGAGAUUGUAAUAAAGAACAAUGAUGGUAGGUGAUCUGAUAUUAUAUUCGACUAAUAAUAAAAUAAGUAAGGAGAGCAGGGUAUGGAAAGACAGAUAGCCUAGAAAAGAAGCAUGCAGAGGAAAAUGCCAAAGAGAUACUAUCAUAAGCAAGGGCAUUUGAUGAAUUCAUUAAUUAGUCAAGCCAGUACGAAUAUACAUGACUGAAAAGAAUAUGUAUUUUGUAGUUUGAACAAAUGGAGUAACCAAGACAACAAUAACCGGGCGUACGGUCUAAAUUAAAUGAGCCAAUUUGAGGAAUUGUUAUCCUCCAAACAAUAUUCAGAUGAUUCUAUUUGCUAUGAUGAUAAUUCUGUACCUGCACAUUACUCGGCAUACCAAGUUCUCCAUUCGGGUUCUUCUCCGCAAGACACAUGAAUAUAUGAGCAACUAAUUUUCUUGGUCCUAUUUCUUCUUUCUCAUAUCUGCAAAUAUCAUGUUUAGGAAACCCACAUAUCUGCAAACGGGUCUUUGCCAAAUGUACAUGGUUUUAAACACGUACAUGCAAAAAGAGAUGGAAGCAGAGCACAUUGCACAAGCUUCCAGAGUUGCAGAAAGAGAGAGGGAGGGGAAGAAGGAUUGGGCGAAGCUCACCUUGAGUGUUGAAAUGUAUCAGCUUAAAAACCUUGAGCUGAGGAGCGAGAUAGGUGAAAAAACCAAUCCCGCCAGACAACCAUAUAUAUAACUCAGAUAUUAGAGUUCCCUGAUACAUCGGAUAUACAAAGCGCACUAAUCACUCAAAUUUUGGAAUUAUGAACCUCAGAGCAUGUGGUCAAUAUUGUUAGUUAUGGACAAAAGCGCAGUAGUGCAUCAAAGAAGUUACAGGUCCAGAAAUUACCAUUCAGAAAUGAGAAUUACAUAUUUAGGAGAGAACAUCUCAUCCCCAAAUGAACAACCAAUUUCAAUUAAACGGAUUGUGCAAAAGUAGGCAUAUUAGUAGAUCGGAAGUUUCAAGGAAUAAACAGUAGUACAAUAAUCUUGAUACUGAUUUAGCUAUGUAAAGCAGGAACAUAAAUUGCAUACCAAACAAGUUACUAAAGAAAAUGCACAACAAUAGAUGACCCGUUGUGCCCUGGCGCAAAAAGCGAGAGUGAACCAAAGCAUUCAAACUAUGCAAGUAAGAGUGGUUUAGAAAUUGAUUUGCGCCCCUGAUGCAAGUAGCCAAAGCAAACCAAGCAUUGGAACCAUUAUAAAAGUUGGUAUUUAUAUGGCAUCUUUAUACAUAAUCAGGCAUAUGUGGUUUAUUUCAAAUUUCAAUAGUAUGGAAAGAGAUACAUAGAUGGCAUAUUUGUCCAUCCUGAUAACAUCAUGGUUCAGGCAUACCUUGCAAGGAGAUACUUAGAUGGCCUCUUUAUACAUAAUUGGCCCAGGAAGAUGAAGGUAGACUAACGGGUCUUGGUUCUACAUUUGUGGAUGCUACUCUAUUGCAUCAUAUCAUACUUUCUGUCUUCAGCUAAAGCUCACUAAAAUCAUCCAUGUCUCUAAUUGAUAAAAUAAUCUGGCGUUUUUACCUCUCUGUUCUCUAAAGGAUACCUCUCUCAAUAAAAUACAUGAAAAAAGUGCAUAUAAGAAACAAUAUGUAACUACGGAAUCAAUUAGACGAGAAUGGCUUGAUAAGAAUGCACUACACCAAACAUAGCACACCAACUACAAUAAGCAAAAAUUGACCAUGCGACUCUCUGUAUUUGAUUUCAGUUAAUUAACUAUAAACUCCGCACCUAGCAAUGGAGAGCUUAUAAGUCGAAAGAAUUAAGCCUACUGGCCAUAAAGGUACAAGCAAAGACUGAAACAACUAAUUGAAACUCUUUCCUGUAGGCAUAGCACAACACACAUUUCUUAUUUCUUCAUUACUUCAUAACUGAAACCGAAGAAGAAAACAAGUUGGCAUUUUUUUUACCUACGACACUCACUCUCAACGAAUGAAGGGGGAAAACGUGUACAUAAGUAACAUAACAGGGAGGAGAAAAGAUUCACCAGUGUAGACUAUGAAGGAGAAGCUGCGAAAAACCCAGUCAAUCUGUUCCAUCCGAACAACGGUGGACACAAAUCCCACCUGCAACACAGACAUAAGAACCACAAAGCUUAGAAAUCUAGCAGUAAGAAUAAGAAUAACAAGACAAUCUGUAAGGAUAUCACAACCUCAGCAUGCACCCACAAACAUAAAUCAUCCAUCAUGUCGUCCCUCCUAAAGAAAUAUGAAGCACAGAAGAAGGGGAUAUGUCAGACCAAGAAAUAAAUCAUAUUCAUGAGUCAUGGUGUAAUUAGCAAUUGAAGUGGUCCAGAUAGUCAUGGAACAAUGAGUGAUAGCUCAUCUAUUAAUCAAAAAUGACAGGCAAAGAGCAAAAUAUACAACAAACAAGUCCAUGUUUUUUCUAUGGAAUAUUGUAGCUAAGAAAUAAGCGGAAUUAAAUCGCCACUGAUAGUCCGGUGUAUCUUCAAAGUGCAAUGAGACGCAAUAUUGGAAAUAAAAUGCAAAUUUAGUAGCAAAAAAAAUUCAGCAUUGAUGUGAAUUGUAGAAUUCUAAACAAGAUGCUAGCCUGGGAACAUCUUCGACUACAACAACGAAUUAUAGUCAGCUAAACAGAACACACACCCAUUUUCAGAAGUAAAAAGACAGAACCAUCUAAAAUAGAGAAACUUGGCAGCACACAUUAGUAAGAUUGUAAAAUGUUGAAAAACUUGGAUGUUGCUGUUGCAAAAUAAGUGUCACACAUUAGUUCUAAUGAUGUAUCACCUACUAUGGCUAUAAGAACUACUUUUAGCAUAGGCUGCAGCUUUGGAGAUGCAAAUUGUUAGAAAUACUAAUUAUAUCUAUAUAGAAGCAUUGAAGUUCGGCUGCAGCAUCGUAGACGAAUUAGUUCGGACCUCAAAGUCUCAAAAAGCAUAAUGCUUAUAAAACUGUAAUCGCUAGAAAGAAAAUAAUCACCUCUAGUAUUUAGUAACACAUAUAAGAGAUAAAGUUCAGUCGGUUUUGUCAUUUUAACGGAACAACUGGUGAGCAUGCCCCGAGCUAUCAUAUACCUGAAAAUGAAGCAACCAAUGGACCUGCAGAAACCAACACAUCUGAGAAGAAGUAGCAGUCCAUUGCAUGGAAGAAGUGAACUAACAUCAUAUGUAAUUGCAGAUCUGAAAGAUGCAAAGUAGCCGAAAAAAUGGAUGUACAGAAGCUGAACCUGCUCCUGGGAUAGCCAUGAUGGCUACACUCACAGCAACCUGAACCUGGUGAGUGUGUGUGCUUUUAUCAACCUACAAAGUAAAACUGAAGAACCUCAGAACAAGAGAGAAACACAAAUCUUCAUAAGAAAAGCAACCUGAACCUGGUGGGUGGCUGUGCUUUUAUCAACCUGCAAAGAAAUCAUACCACAAAAAGUAUCCCUUGUGACUACAAGAAGGAUGAUGUAGCCACAACAUCCCUUCAGAUUGUCUAUCUCUCUCAAAUUCCUCUCUCUUUUCUCAAAAAUUAGAUGCGGUCAAAAAUGCAAAGAGACAAAACAAAGCUCUUCAUGUUGCCUAUUUCUCUCAAAUCCCUCUCUUUUCCCCAAAAUUAGAAGCGGUCGAGAAGUAAAGAAAUUAACUUUUGUGCGGUAUUUAUAUAUACCCAUGGAAAAAAUUGUGGAAGAAAAUUAGAGGAACUUACAUGAUUUUUUCUUCUGCAUCUUUCAUGGCUGAAGCACCAUGGACAACCGAUUCGCCAGCACUACCGCCUGUUGUGGCUGCUCGCGUUCGCCAUUAUUGUGCCUGCUCCGACUGGUUCUCCCCUCAUCCCCGUUGGCUCGACCACCCAAAUAUAGGACGAGAUGAGGAGAGGUGGCGUAUCUAUCAUCCUGUGCCGGCGCCGGCGCUUGUGGCCGCCUCUAUCUCUCACGCUCCAGAUCGAAAUCUAGGAGGAAAAGAGGAGAGGUGGUGGCCCAGAUGCGUUGCGCCGAAAUCCAUGGGCCGAGGAGAUGCGACGGCCAGCAAGAGAGCGCGUCGGAGAAGGUGGAGAUGAGCGGCGGGGGAGGCCAUGGCGGCGGCGGCGGCGAGCGAGAGGGCGGAGAGGAGGAGGCGACAGGAAAGAGAAUCGGUGGCGUGGGAAAGAGAGGAGGGAGCGAAUGAGGACUGGAUGCUGCGUUGCUUUUCCUUUUACCGCUGCUCGCCUAGGGUUGUAUACUUCCCGUACCCGGAACAGGAUGAAACCCACUUUGUUUCUUUGACCCCACACAUAGCCAGCCCCACUCAUCAGCCACUCCUGAAGCAAUUAUUGACGUGAAAAUAAACCAACGGUUGACCUGGUGCCAGCAGCCAAAACAGAGAAACAGUAAAAAGAUCGUUCGGUCCCUGAGGCUUACCGCGCGCGGAUGCGGUAGAAGGGCGGGUAGUCUAGCGCUCUUUAUAUGUUAGAUAUCUAGCUUCCCCAUGUAGCAAGAUCGCGUCUAGUUGCUAGGGCAGAAUGCCAGAGUGUAGGAGAGCGAUACUGAUAGGCACUUUGGAUGCGCCAAUGGUCACAUAGCGUGUUCUGGCAGGGAAUGGGAUGCAUCAGAAAUUUAGAGUUGGAACUAGCAGAUGCCGAUCACAUGGCGGCUCUACGUUGCCAGUUGAGUUCGGCACAGAUUACUCCCCACUGUUGAGCCGUUGAUUUCAUCACUCAGGUAUCUAGCUGCUCAAGCUAAGCAUGGUCAGGUUUCCAACACGUGAAGUGCGAGAAAGUCUGCGCAUUCUCUCCAUGUCACUCGGUUAAAUGGAAUCAUGACUUUAGAGAGACAAGACAGGAUUAUUUGCAUCUAUUGAUCCUCACCUAUCAGCUUACAAGACACUCUGAACACUAUGGUACAAGCACCUAGUGUAGUGAGCGCAACUAGGCAGCAGGAGAGUAAAGCUCACAGUUUGUUUGCUUGGAUAAAAAAGGUUUUCUCCCUACCGAAACUCAAACCAUAAGAUUAAGGCCACAAAAGGCACUGGAUGCAAUGCAACAGCUUAGUUCGACCAUACUAGAUAUAUCUUAACCAAGAAUGACAAAAGAUCCAACUGUCUGAAAUUAACAGGUAGCCACUGACCAAUCAAAUGGAAAUGGAAAACAGAAAUGCUCUGGUACUCGAGCAAGCGAAUCGCCUUACCUGACAAACAUAGCAGGCUGCAUCAACACUGCCACCAAAAUGAACAAGUAAUUUUACUCCCACACAAACAUAUGCAAAUAUAUUCCACCAACAAUAUUAGUCGGUCCUCGCUAUCAACCACAUCUAAAACCAUGUCAACGAAUGGAAACAACACCACCUUAAAGUAUCCACACGAGAAGGCUCCUUUAUAUUUGUAUUAACAGAAGAGCAAAAAGAUAUAGCUGUAUGAUUUCAGCGAUCCAAAUCCGCACUACCCUGCCCAAUCGGCACACAUCCUGUCUCCUUCCACUCACUACCCUGGCUACAACUCUCUGGCUGCUGGUUUUCUUCAUCAGAACGCAGAGCUCAGGGCACCACGUGCUGCCUGUUGUUUCAACUCCUGGGAUUUUCCACUUCCACGGAAGUACAUGUACACUUGCUGCAUGUUGAGUCAGACAGGUCGAUGAUCAAGAGACAGGAAUAACAUGAGCUGCAAUGUAAGAUCUUCAAAAAAAAUAGAGGUAAACCACACCCACCUGAAUGACACCUAUGCUCAGCAGUGAUUCAAGGCAGAACAAUCCAAAUCCAACAAAGUAAAAUAUCUGCCAAAUGAAAAUUCCACAAAAAUAUAUGUCAGUAAGGGGUUAAAUAAGACUGGCAGACCCAGUAACCACUUCCAGAUGCAAUCUACCAAGUAAACCCCUGAUACUCAUGCGUGUGAGGUAUAGUGCACUAUGUCUGUUUCAAAAUGCAAGGAUUUUCUUGUCUAGCCAGUGGACUCUGCCGGCACUGAGGCAGCAUCAAGCAGCACAAUCUUUGGGGAAAACAUAGAACAUGGGCUGCGUAAGAGGAAGAUAUGGGCAUAUUGCUACAUAAACAAAUUAAGCAGCACAAUCAUUGGUUUAAAAUAUAGAGCAUGGGCUGGGUAAGACGUAGAUAUAGGCAAAUGGCUACAUAAACAAAUUAGUCCAGGCUAAUUGGAUAAACCUGUAAUGAAGACUUACCCCAACAAUAAGGCUCUUGGUUAUGACAUCAAUGGCAGGCAAAAUCCCACUACAGCAUCAAAAAGCAAAGUAAUUUAGUUAAUAAGAUCAAAAUAAAAGUUUUAAUGCGUUCUCAACAAAGAGUAAAUGUUAUGGUAGAAAGGUCUAAAUCUGAAUAUGAUAACAUGGAGGGUAAGAAUUUAUUCCAAGCAAAACUUACAAGUGACAUGAAUGACAAGAAACACAACAAUUUCAGUCUGCAUUAGCAAUUUACCAUGUACCUGGUAUAAAAUUUUACUCCUGUGUGUUAAGUUCCAGGAUAAAAAAUUAUGCUUCUUCCAUGAUCCUUUGCAGAGGUCAACAUUGACCACAACUCAGGCAAAAAGGCAAACAAUCGGUUCAGGAACAUGUUACUUGACAACUAGUAUAUAACAGCCGCUCAUGUAUAUAAUUUUUGGAUUUGCUCCCGUAUUUCUCACAUGCCACUUAUGUAUAGCCUUUAUAGCUGCAUGGAUGUGUUGACGCCAGUGUAAACUCCCCUGCUUGUAGUUAACCACGUUUGGUGUGUGCCUGUUUCUUUCCAUAUUUGAGUUCCACAUUAAAUCUAUAUAUCUAGUUCAUUGAUUAUCUUUGUUAAUUGUGUAUUCUAACUUCUAACAACAUCUUCAGACAAACCAUUCAAUGAAACAACUUACUUUUUGUGAAAAGGUCACAUAAUCUUUUACGGACAAAACAGAAACUAUGACCAUGGAAAUGCAUAACCCCUCACAUCUAUACCCGUUUACUGACUUACAGCCCGCACGGCAAACCAUGGUGCACAAGAAAAGAAUAUGAGACUUACGUCAAAGAAUUUCCUUUGAAAGGGAAUGGGGGAGACACAGCUGACCACACGCAGAAGAUUAUGUGAAUCUGGAAAUGGACAAAGAUGAUCAGUAGGGUGUGCAGUUGAGGAUAGGUUGAACCUUUCAUUUAAUGCUAAGAUGUGGCCGCAUGAAACCACUAGUAAAGUGUAUCUUACCAUGUAAAAUAGGAAAAACCACCCAAACUUCAAAGCACUCUCAGUUCUGCGACAGGCAUUAUAAUAAACAAGAUAUGGUCACAUGACAUAUUUGGAAAGGUGAAUUUCUUUCAUAUAGACAAUAAAUUCUCAAUGCAUAUACCCUACCUCAUCGCAUUAUAAAGAGGGCGAUACCAUAACACAUAAGCCCCAGGGACACCAGAAAUGAAGUAGAUAAUGGCAAGCAACCAAACCAUGACACCUGUUAAAGCAGAGAUUUGUAUUAGUUUCGCGAAGUUAAUAUAGUGAUAGCAACUGCUAUAUCAGAUGUGCACAAUAAGAUACACUUUAGCUAUACCUUCUCCCUUAAUCCAUGCAGUUGUGGUCGCUAUGAUAUUAAAGAAGAGGCAGAGAGCAAUUCCUGCAUGAGAUCCAAAUUUUACAAAAAUUACACAAAAUCCAUAAAAAAGCUAUAUAUCAAAUUGCUUCUCCACCAGAUUAGCUCUUGGUCCACUAAUCAAAUGAAGAUGGUAGAUCCCUUUGCAGGUAUUUGAGGAAUUCAAACUUAUUUGCUUCUCAUGUUCAUAAUCACAUCAUUCGUGCAAAAUAUGACAGGAAGUUGCAACAUAAAUACUUGUUAGUGAAUUUGUAUUAGGAUCUAAUAAAUGUCCAAAAUGAUAGUCGGCAUUGUUAGGAUAAUCCUUGUGUCCUGUAACCCCUCUCUCUUUGGUUACUUAAUAAUUAAGAAAGAUUAGAAGCUGUAAUAGCUAGCUGUAGACUCCAGGAUAAGCUAGCUAUGAGCUGUAUGAGCAGGUCGGCAGGGACUGGCUUCAUGAAGAAGGUGAUGGAAAUGGUUUUGUCUGCCUGUGUACUGUAGCGCCACCUUACUGUACUGCCGUCUUACUGUAGUGCCAGGAACACUAGCACCAGCCUAGAACUCCUAUAAAUAGGAGGGUACAUCUUGUGUAACACAAGCUUGUAGUGUAUCAACAAAGAAAAUGGCUUUUGCUGUGUGAGGCAGCAAGUCACCUAAACAGCUUGUGUACUUGUGCAAGUUGUGAGAAAUAACAGAUAGCGAUAGAGUGUGAGUGAGAGUGAGAGAGAGGAGGGUUUCAGUGCUGGUGAUGUGUGUGUGUGUGUGUGUGAUGUCAACAAAGCCUCAGUGCUAGUAGUAGUUCUGCGUGUGUGCUUGAAGCAUAUCUCAGGAAGAGGGGGAGUUGAGUGAUUCAAUUCCAACAGGCAUGCAGGCGCCACCAGGCUCCAGUGGCCACCUGUGCAGGUCCGGUCAGGCCGCGCAGAGAGACUGACACGUGUUACAAUUAUGUUGCCCGUUGCAGGGAAAUUGGAAAAUGUUAUCUGCAUCACUAGUGUUUCAGAUAAGCCGGAUUAGAUCUGGAAGAAGAGGAGGAUCAGUAUUACUGGCAGAUCGCCGCUGAAUAUGACCACUGGCUACUCACUGCUCAUGUGAUCUGGCUGUGGUCAUGCAAGAAGGAAAGGAGUGAGAGAAAGGAGUAGUAACUUGUUGUGGCUUUGGAGCGACGGGAAUCAAGAGGCAUUGUGUGUCUCUGUUUUUGUCAUGUUGCUGUUGGACUCCAGUUCAGGUUGCUGGGCUGAUCUUUACAAGUUACAAUGGCUCUUCUGACACUACUGUGGCUGAUCUGAUCUAUGGUGUGGACUUGUGGUGCUGUUAACUAUGCUGGUACUUUUAGUUGGUCGUUAGCCAUGCUUGUCCAGCUACUUGGCUUUGUUGAUCUGCCUGCUGUGGAGGCUUGGGGAUGGUACAACCGGAGGCAGCGAAACCGAGAGGACCAAGAGAAUGGAGAGGUGAUGGAGCCCAAGGCUUGGGACAUGUAAGUAGAGGAGGUAGGCACCCGGCUUUGGAGGUUUGAGGAAGAGGCGGUGGAGGCCAGGACUGCAUUGGUAUAGGUGGGAGACAUGAUCCUGUUGUUGGAGGUGCUUCACGUGAUAAUAGAGAACACCCUCCAGGCUUCUGCAUCAUAUGAAGCACACAGUUUGAUAUGGCGAUCCAGUAUUCGUAAGUCCUUGAUACGCCAGCAGAAACUCAAUCAUGGUGGGUAUGGUGGCUGGUACUGGUGGUGCGGUCAAGGCAUGGAGGCAAAUCUCAGCAAAGGCAGAGGUCUCUUCGAGAGUAUUAGAAAAUAAAAGAUGGCCAAGGUUGUUAUUUUAUGUCAAUCUUGUGAGGAAGUGUUGGGAGAAUUAAGGUAUGUUUAGACUGCCCAAACUGCACCAUACCAAAUUUCUGGUCAUGACCAAAAGAUUGGUCUUUGUUUGGAUGGUGGGAAAACUUUUGGGCAUGCCGAUGCCCCCAAUGUUCUUGCCAAUAUUGGCCAACUCAUGGGCAAGCAAAAAACUUGACCAAAAUUUUGGCUAGACAGAUUAUUGGCAGGCAAACGUGGGCCACAACCCAACAGAACCUUUGUACUAGAGAACCCAGGUUUGCAAUCUAUUGAGAGACCAUAUUAGAUUCUGGAUGUAAACUUGUAAUCCUUACAAUAAAGGGAUUGGAGGUUCCGUGGAACACCACGUAAUUAUUUCCCAAAAUAUUCAAAAGUACUCCAGCAAAAGAAAAGGUAAUGGCAGCACAACAUAUUCAUAUCAAACACCAAAGUUUUCACAUUACCAGAGCUUACCCAAAAAUGAUGAAAAUGCAAGGUACUGCAUUUUUUGUAGAUGGAUGGGUAUCUCAUUUGAAAUAUUGUGAUGAAUGAGAGGGAAAAAGGGUGGCCAGUUUUUGUCUUCUAUGACAAUGCCAGCUGAAAAUGAAACAAAGAAGUGAUUAGGAGAAGUAUAAUUGUGCAAACAUACUGCUAGGGAAAUCAUACAAAGUACAAAACUAAAUUUGCUCUUGCCAGAAGAAAUGACAAUUGUUUAUUUUCGGACAUCCCAAAAUUGGAGCCUUGAAAUGACCAAUUCUAAAUUAUCAAUCUAAGAAAAGGAUCAUUGUCAGCAAAUAUUACCAAUAACCAUGCAGGUUGCAGUGUGACAUACUGAUAACCCUGAUGUCCCAUCCCAUGUCCUAAACUCUAAAUGUCUAUGAUGCCCUUUUAUGAACAAUUCCGAAACACUGUGAACUCCUCUCAAAAUGAGUGGGCAGGCUACAGUUUCUUGGUACACACUUCCAGGUGCACAAAUUGCUUUCAUCAAGCAUGGUUCUGUCUUCAAUUUUUUAUGCCAGAGACGUGAACAAAACAAAACUAUUAAAGCUAUUCAGCAAAAGGAAAGAAUGCGGGUUGUACCUCGCGACGCAGCCUCUUCCUUCCUUUUCAGUUCCUAGGGCAGAGAGACAAACAAAGAGGAAUCAGAUCAGCAGUUCGAGAAGGAACAUCUCAUAUGGUAAAUAAAACAUGUAUCCACAUACAUGGAAUACACUACAAAGAGACAAUCUUUCUGUGAUUUAAAAUACUAUGACAUCUCACUGUCAAAAUUCAACAUAUUAAAUAAUAAGCUCAAGAAACAUGAUCCUCCCAGAUGAACCACCGUUUUGACUGGGAAACAAAAUUGUAUAGACCAUUCAUCACUGGAUAUACGACGCCAUAAGCCCAUAACCAACCAAAUUUAGCAAGAAGUUGAGAUAUAGAUUCCCCUAUCUAGAUAACAAGACCAAGGGACAAAACCACGUCGAAAUGAAAUGGUUCUUGCACCUGUUCUUGGGUUCUUGGGACAAAUGGUAAUCAGAAAGAAAGAAAAAAACAAAUGAUUGUUACACAUGUUUGCAAUUUUUCAUCAAUCUAAGAUAAAUUUGUGCUGAGAUAGAGUGCCGCAUUGUUUUCCUCACAGCACAAAUUUAUCUUACAUUGAUGAGAAAUCAGAAAAAAAAAUGCAGUGCUAAAAUUAUUUUUCCCAUUAAAAUUCACAUGCCUGUUUGAACUACUAGCAAAAGCACACUUUAUUUUCCAGCAGAGCCACUAUAUGCUGCAAGAUGAUGCAUGUUUCUGCCCCUAUUACUCGGCCUCAAAUUGCAUCACUACCAAACAGAUAGUUCUGGUAGCCAUUUGACCUCCUACUCUUAAGUCAAUGCACACUACCUGUUCAGUAAUUCCAAUGCUCUGGUGGCAAUUACAGUGAACUGCUUAACUAGUAUUUGGUAGGUUGAGGACACGCAGAUUCUGUAGACUCAUGCCAGCACACCAUAAAAAAAUUACCAUAUUGUCAUUUCCUAUUACUACUUCACUAUAGGGAUUUUAGGGCUAGGAUAGCUACUAUAUGCAGCACUAAUGAUCUGAAAAUCCCAAAUCAACAUAAAUAAGGUUUUAUUGACUCACUGGUUGUAACACUAAAUAAAGCAAUGCCCCAGUUAUCAUAUCCAAAUCACAAAUCACAGCGACGUUGUAGAUUCUGGAUUUACAUCUGAUGUGACACCACUUGUGAGAAAGCUGGUAGCAUAUCAAUAUUUCUGUAACUGGCUAAGAGCAGCAGAACAGUCCAAUCACUCAGGAAUUGUAACACGCAUACCUUUUCUCUUUUGUUUAGCUCGGCUUCCAUCGCUUGGAGCUCUUUUUCCUUUUUCUUCACAUCCUAAAUGAGAUAAUAACAUGCAUGAUAUAAAUAUAUAAACAAACUACAGAAGGGAUAACCAAUACAAACAUUUUUUAUUGACUUAAUCAAAACUAACUUUACACAUGAACAGUAUAAAUAAAGGAAUAAUUGUCACGUUUUGUAUACAGUUUUACCCCAUUCAGUCAAUUUUAUAAGGCAAACUUUGAGCUGGCACAUGGAUCUCUUACGAUUGAGAAAGUGACCAAACAGAAUUACUACAGUACCCUUCCAUUAACUGUUUUCAAAAUAUGCGAGAGAAUAUUUUACGUGGUUGGUCAUGCGUAUAUUCUUAAAAAGAUAAUGAAACAAAUAAUGGCAAAAAUACAAAAAAAAAUAUGCUAGGAUGUCUCAUAAUUUUCACCAAAAUUGGAAAACAGACCAUCGGACUUAUAAAAAUUCUCACAAGUACUUGAUGAUACAUAAGGAAUAGAUAAAUGGCAAUGACGAAGAGAACAUCUAUCCAAUUCCAAUUAGAGUAAGAAGCUAGCUGACACAAUUUUCUUGAGUGAAGAAAAACUUCUCAAAACUAAACCUACCUUAGUUGAAUCCAUAGGAAUGUCCACAUUAUAAAAACCCGCAGGCUCGUGGGAGAGAGGUGAGAGUCGGGAAUUGGAGGCUGGGGGGACACUCCCUCCCUGUAGAAAAUGAAGCAUUUGGAAGAUAUUAGGAACGGGCAGCUCCAAAAAUAGAAGUCUCUGAGCAACUUAAUAAUAGCAUAAUAUUUCCUUUGCCAACAACUAGCCUUCUGUUCAACAUCAAUAUUUUAAGUACUUCUAUGUAAUGAAUAUGUAUGGAAUAUCAACAUAACAUAACAUACAAUGGAAAUCAGAUGAAAGAUCUAACAAUACAAAAAUACCCAAAAGAAAUGACGGGUGGUGGGUGCAAGAAUUGCUGCAUCCUGCAUGCAUGCGCAGUUACUUGAUUAUUAGAACUUGACACAGGUUUCGGAUUUAGAUAACCAGUAAUCAGUAAAUAUGCACGAGAAAAAACAAAAAUAUUUUGGCAUGUUACUGAGAAUGGCCUGCCAAUGCAUACUUUCGCAGGCAGUGCAUAGGCACAUUAAGUUUUCAAGGGCAUGUGCAUAGACACAUAGUUUUUAAUGUGAUCGCAGCGGGGUGUGUUUAAGUAGAUUACACUCAAACGUUGCCUUGUUCUACAUCAGUUCAAUGACAUCAUCAAUGAAUAAUCCUAUCUGACGGUACAAAAGAGCUUGCGACAUGUAGUCCUUCAACUUUGGCUCCCACAUAGAGCCUAGAAUGUAGAAAUCUCAAACCUAAGAUUUUUAUCCAUGACCUAUCCAUACAUUUUUGUCUUACGAACAUACCUAUCUAUCCAUACAUUGGAUAUCACAUUAACCAUGUUCCGACAUAUGUAGCUUGUAGCACAUUGGAAAAUUUCUAGAAACCACUUGAAUGACUGAGCACAAAAACAGUGGGUCUGAAAUUAGUGACGUCUCAAUAUGAACCCAAGGGCAGCAAGUGGCUCAUCCUCUACCUGACAAACACUACCAUCAUUCCACCAUACGUAAUGUCCAAGUCCCUGAUGUUGAACAUAGCACAAUAUGGUGGUAACCAAGCUCCAGCAACCUCACGCCAGUACUCAUUAACUAAUGAACAAGAAACCAAGUCAUAUAAGAGGGUGUCACAGAUAUCAAAGCCACCACAUUGCUUUAAUCUGCUGCGACACCAAAUCCCAACCAAACUACAUUGUAGCUCAUGCUGGCUUCAAAUCACCUAGCACAGGCCACUAAUCACCCACCGCGCAGCCUUAGUUCACCACGCGAGCACAGAUCCAGAGCUAACCUACCGCUUCCAGAGCAAUAAUCAGCCGACACAGCCGACAGAGCGUAAUCGCCAACCCGAAGCGCACAAAUCCGCAUCUCCCAAAUCGCGUCCCCGUCCCACGCUAGGGGCCUCAGAUCCGGGAAAUGCCGGUCCCGAAUACGAACACGGCCGACGCGGAAAAAAAGGAGAACCGAGAUCUAUGCUUGCGCUCGCGCCGACGGGAAGGAGAGCGAGCACUCACGGCGAAGGGGUUGACGUCGUCAUCCUCGAAGCCGUUGCGGCCCGCCAUGGGUCUCCGGGCGCCUUCUCCGACGGGCGGCGGCGAUGGGCGGCGUGGUGGUGGCGACCGACCAAGUGCGUGCGGCGUGCCUCCCUCUCCCCUCUCUCUCUCUCUCUCUCUCUAGUCGCGUUGCUUUCUAGUCUAGUCCAGUACACGGGGAAAGGGAGACGCGGUGGCUGCGCGCGAGGUGGUCGCUGGCGGGUGGGGCCCGGCGAGGCUGACAGGCGGGGCCCCGGAAUGCGAGACGCCAACCUGGCCGCUCGGUGCGGGGCUGUGCUGGUGCGGUGCGGUGUGGCGUCCCUUUCGGCCCGCGAGCCAACUGAGAUCUCGGGCUACCUUCUGCCUGCCCCUACGCUUUUUUUUUAACACAGUCUGCCCCUACGCUAUUGGGUUCUUCACAAGUUCAAGUUUUUUAACACAACCUGCCCCUACGCUAUUGGGUUCUUCACAAGUUCAAGUUUUCAUCAAGUUGUAUUCUGUUGCGUUUCGAAUGCAAAUAGAGUAGAUAUUCGGAUGUCAAAUAUGCUACUCCCUCCGUCCCAAAACAAGUGCCUUAACCUUAAUAUAACUUUAUACUAAAGAAAAUAAGUGUAUUAACCUUAGUGCAGUAUUUUGAUACGGAUGGAGUAUUAAUAGGGACUACUCCCUCUGUUUUCUAAAUAUAAGCUCUUUUAGAUAUUUCAAUACGGACUACAUGCGAAUGUAUAUAGACAUGUUUUAGAGUGUAGAUUCACUCAUUUUGCUCCGUAUGUAGUUCAUAUUGUAAUCUCUAAAAUAUCUUAUAUUUAGAAACGGAGGGAGUAUAUGGGUGUGUUUGGUUUUAGCUUAGGUAAAAAAAAUUAUCAAAGAUUUUGCUAGACCAUUAUUUGACCAAUAUUGGCAAAAAAAAGAACUAGAGUGGACAAAGGAGCAUUUCCAUGCCAGAAUUUUGUUUAUUUUUUGCGCAUAACAUGCGAGAAAAUUGGUCAUGUUUCAAACAAGAACCAAAUUUUUGGUCAUGACCAAAAUAUUUGAAGGUGGCUCUUGGUUAGAACCCAAACAGAUGCAAACGUAUAUCCUUUUAUUGCUUACUAUAUUCGGAUCUCAAAACGAGUACGCGAUAGACUCAAACCGUGCGUGCAGGGGAGGAGUGAUGGUUGCCUUUUGUAACGCUCUUCAUGAUUUCAUGAAAGAUUUCUAAACACCAUUAUAGGUGCACAUGCUUGGGCCGUACCCGCAAGAUGGUCACUGCUUAUUCUGAUCAUGAUUCUCCAACACACUACAUAUGCUAUCUUGCUCUGGUGAGCAAUCGCUCAUCUCAAGCAAGACUCGAGUGUCUAGCCAUAGUCGAGUCACAACUUGUAUCCAUUGUGAUAAGCAAGUUUGUCCAAUACAAUGACUUGACAAACCCUCUUAGCCUCACGAGUAAUAUCCUGGAUGGAUGAAGGUUACAAGAGGGUGAGCCUUCUCUUUCUCGUAGUACCGUGUGAGAGACAACAAUUCCAUCUAUUUGAACAAGGUGUUUGGUGCAACAAUUUCGUCUAUUUAUUUAUUUUUAAUUUUCAAAGAGAUGCUUAAAGGGCAUCUUAUAUCUGAUAGUUAUUAAAAGGAAACAACAGCCGUAACACUGGAAAGACAAUUGGACGCGGACCGACCAAUACAAUAUAAAGUUACAUUGCAAAAUACACUAGUCUCCUCCUUUCUUCCAUUGUACGCCGCCUACCGAAGAUUAAAAAUUGCACUGAAAGUAAAGAAGGGGGACAUCUACAAACGUCUUUGCCAUAUCAGGCUUUAAAAAUUGCAAUAACUACUCACCCCUUGAGGCGAGAUCUAGAAAUCGCUAAAGAAGCAUUGGUCCGAGCAUCACCCCACGCAAAAACAGGCUCACAAUCCAUCACCACCGGUACCCGAGUGUUGGGGAAAUCGGACCAUGCUGCAGAACAACACAGAAGAAGAUGUCAAAGUCGUCGCACCAAUGGCCAGCCAAUUGCUCUAUCUCCUUGGAGAAUACACGAACUUCAAAGAUAUGAGGAGAGCCAACAAAUCUGGAGACACAAAUUCUCACAAGCCCUUCCGGAUCAGACGUCGUCGAGAUAGGGAGAAGUCGGAGAGACCUUAUUCCAACACGCGCAUUGUCGUCGCCACCUCGUUGAUGUCGUCGGGGAAACAAAACCUAAGGAGAAAAGGGGAACGAACGAAAGGGUCCCCACUGCUCUUGUUGUCGAUGAGGCCACCGGUCGAAGGGGUGGAAGGGGCCUAUGCGGAGGCGCAUGGAAGAAAUUUCAUCGAGGGCAGUGGCUAGGGUUCAGAGAUGCUGUGAAGUUUAUAAUCUAUUUGAAAGGGUGAUUUGGUGAAGCAAAUUCUACCCAAGCAACCAUGCUUGAUUUUUCAAAGUUAUGUUAAAUGAAGGAGAUGAGAAGUGAUAAUGUUGAAGCCACAAGCAAUAAAGAGUGCAGGGUGCGCAUAAUACACUGUAAUAUAUCGGGAGAAGUGUAAUUCUGAGUUGUGAUUUUUGUGUACUUUUUUUUCGCGGGUGGGUGAUUUUUGUGUACACAAAAAAGCUAUCCGUGAUUAUUUUUUUGCGAAAAAACUUCCAAUCUAUUCAUCUUCAAUCAUGACAGUACAACGAACACCAGAAAUAAAAUUACAUCUAGAUUUGUAAACCACCUAGCAACGACUACAAGCACCGAAGCGAGCCGAAGGCGCGCCGCCGUCAUCGUCCCUCCAUCGCCAGAGUCGGGCACAACUUAUUGUAGUAGACAGUCGGGAAGUCGUCGUGCUAAGGUCCCAUAAGACUAGCACCCCAGAACAGCAACCGUCGGCGGUGAUCGGAAGGAUCCAAACCGAAGACACACGAACGUAGACGAGCAACGACAAGAUCCGAGCAAAUCCACCAAAGAUAGAUCUGCCGGAGACACACCUCCACACGCCCACCAACGAUGCUAGACGCACCGCCGGAACAGGGGCUAGACGGGGAGACCUUUAUUCCAUCUUCAGGAAGCCGCCGCCGUCUCACCUUCUUGAGUAGGACACAAACCCUAGCAAGAUUGAAAAAAAAACUAAAAACGAAGCCCUCCCGCCAGCCCUUGCCAGGAUCCACCACGCCUCCAUGGCCCUAGGGCCGUCGGAGACGAGGCGGACCUGCGCCGGCGCCUACGAGAGGCACGAACCCUAACUUUCUUUCUUGGAGGAGGAGGAGGAGCCCUGGCUCUAACUUCCUCCUCUUCCUUAGGAUUUUGAGCCACCUCUCAGCUACCCGUAAUUUUUGUGUACACAAUGAGUUAAGGUAGCUCAAAUACUCUAGAUAAAUAUGUAAUACUCCAUUCUAUGGAACUUGAUAAUAAAUGUGAAAAACACGAUCUGUUCCAAAAAUCGAGAGAUUUAAGUCCCAAAAUGCUCAUGUUGUCGCAUCACGGCUACCCAUAGGCCAUAACAUUACCAUAUUCAUGGCUUUAGUUUAUAUUAUAUUUUGUAAAUCCAGGGUGCUGAACUCACUAUAAGUUAAGAUAUUUUUCUUUUCUUUUUGCGAGAAACUUCCGAUCUAUUCAACUUUAAUCAUGGUAGUCAUAAAAAAUAAUUAAAAUUACAUCCAAAUCCAUAGACCACAUAUCGGCUACAAGCACUGAAGUGAGCGGAAAGCACGACGCUGNNNNNNNNNNNNNNNNNNNNNNNNNNNNNNNNNNNNNNNNNNNNNNNNNNNNNNNNNNNNNNNNNNNNNNNNNNNNNNNNNNNNNNNNNNNNNNNNNNNNNNNNNNNNNNNNNNNNNNNNNNNNNNNNNNNNNNNNNNNNNNNNNNNNNNNNNNNNNNNNNNNNNNNNNNNNNNNNNNNNNNNNNNNNNNNNNNNNNNNNNNNNNNNNNNNNNNNNNNNNNNNNNNNNNNNNNNNNNNNNNNNNNNNNNNNNNNNNNNNNNNNNNNNNNNNNNNNNNNNNNNNNNNNNNNNNNNNNNNNNNNNNNNNNNNNNNNNNNNNNNNNNNNNNNNNNNNNNNNNNNNNNNNNNNNNNNNNNNNNCUUGUUACGUAGAUAGUUGGGAAGUCGUUGUGCUAAAGCCCUAUAGGACCAUCGCACCAGAACAACAAUCGCCGCUGAUGAAAGAAACGUAGAUCAGAAGAAUCCAACCUAAAGACACACACGAAUGUAGAUGAAAUAAGACCAGAUCCAAGCAGAUCCACCAAAGACAACCACCGAUUGAAUCAUGCGAGAUCCAUCGAAGACACACCUCCACACGCCCUCUAACGAUGCUAGACACACCAUUUGGAUGGGGUCUAGACAAGGAAAACCUUAUUUCAUCUGUAGGGAGCCGCCGCCGUCUCGCCUUUCCAAGCAGGAUACAAAACCCUAACAACAAAAAUACAUAAAUUUGGAUGUAAUAUUGAAUUUCGUUCUUAUAUUCUGGAUGUAUUGUUAAAUUUGGACAUCCAAACCCAGCAGGGUACCACUUGAACUUGCCCCCAAAUAUGUCGGAUGCUUCACAUGAAACACAAGUGAAAAAGUUUACUCCCACCCACGUUGAUUAAAUUUAUGAUCAAACUUAAAUCUCGAAAAGCUCGGGCGCACUAAAUUAUGGAAUGAAGCGAGUAUGUUUGAAUGGUUCCAUACCAGAAGAUCGUUCGGUUGGACCAACAUCAUAAAAUCCAUCCGACUAACUUACACCAUGGCUUCCAUCUGACCAAGUCAAUUGUGGGCAAUAAAAGCAAACGUUCCUAACAACGCCAUCGAGAUAGCUUCAUUGCAUUGUACUCUCUCUGUAAACAAAUAUAAAAAUGUUUAGAUCACUGCUUUAGUGAUCUAAACGCUCUUAUAUUUGUUUACGGAGGGAGUACUGUAGUAAAAUCUCAUGGUAACUAUCAUUAUCGUGGUAGCACUAAUACAACGUGGCUCCCACAGCCGUUUGUACCCUUUCGUUGUCGUCGGCUUGGGCCUGUUUGGAUUGUGAUUAUCUUCAUAACAUAUUGCCACCUUAUUUUGCCACAAUGGCCUUACUUGAGGUGCUCAAAUUCUUCGCCACACUUUGGAUUUUCAUAAGGAAUCUUGCCACAUUUUAUAUAUGUAUCUAUGACAUGUGGGGCUUACUACUCAUAAAAAGAUUUUAGUGUUAGUUGUCGGCAAAUUUUCGUGUUUUGACCCUUUUCUGAAACCUAUUCGAGAUUUAACCCUAGUUUGAAUUUUUUUUAAGAUCUGACCCUUUUGCUACCGCCAGAGUCCAUGGUGGUAGGGUCUAACAGCCUACCGCCAGAGACUUUGGCGGUAGGAAACAUUGCUACCGCCAAUCGGGCAGGCGGUAGCCUGCACAACCCUACCGUCAAGGUGCUUGGCGGUAGGCACGAGCACGCACUGUGUUCAAUACUUAGGAGUUUUUUGGCGGUAGGGAAUGCAACCCUAUCACCAGGGACCUUGACGGUAGGCUGUUAUACCCUACCGCCAUGGUCCCUGACGGUAGCAAAAGGGUCAGAUUUUAAAAAAAAAUCAAACUAGGGUCAAAUCUCGAAUAGGUUUCAGAAAAGGGUCAAAACAUGAAAUUUAGCCUUAGUUGUCACUAGAACUAAACACGCAUCUAACUUGAUCAAAUUUUCCUAAGUUUAGGCGUGAUAAAGUGUGGCAAGUUGUGGCAUGAGACGAAACACCCCAGAAUGUAGACAUGUCUUCGGCGAUAGACAAAUGAGUACACAAGUGUUGGACAAAUAAGUGCUAGAGACAACAUUGUAUAUGGUUCAUACGAGAUCGAACACAUGUAGGAGGAACAGUGUUACCCCUAGAAUAAGGGAGUCCGAACCUCGGUAAAAUCCUGUCUCGUGUGAAAUAUCGUUCCUGUAUCAUCAACGUGCGUGUUGCCCCGUCAAAACUCCUCAAAUCAUGUGUACUGCCGCAAAAUCCUUGCAACAAAAUGCAAAUCUUCAUUUCCAUUUUGUUUGAAAAUAUUUGACUCGAAAAGGACCUAAGGACCCUGCAGACACAGCCAUGUUACAAUGUGCACAUUGUAAACAUUGUAACAUGGCAAAACUUGGUCGUGCAAAGAAAAAAGGACAGGUCGUGAACGCCACUUUCCACUGAGCAAGAACAUGGCCCCUGAUCAGUAUUUUAAGCUCAACUAUCAGAUAAAAACACAGCUUAAUUGGAGCUCACAGUGGCUGAGCCCUUUUGAGUCCCGGUCUCCCACCACACUACCACAGGUCCACAGCCAAGGCCUCCUCGGCUGUCGGCUCGCACAAAUCAAAGCACGACGGAGGGAAACCCAAAGCCACUCUCACUGUCCUCUCCGCUCGCUCUCCCACUCCCCCCUGUCUGUCCCUCCUCAUGCUCACCACCUUCAGACCAGCCAUGGCCGCCUAGCUGGCUAAGCUAAGCUCUGCUAGUACAAGCCUAGGUAGAAGCGAGGAGGACGGUGCAGGCAUGGGCUGCUGCGUCAGCAAGAAGCGCGGCGAGCCGCCGGGCGCGGCCGAUGGGGGGAAGGCCGUCGAGGCCCGCGACCUGCCGCCGCCCGAGGAGGAGAAGGUCAAGGAGGUGCUCUCCGAGACGCCGCGCGUCAAGCCGCCGCCCAGGCCCAGGCGUGUCGCCGGUGGCGCUGUGGUGGCGCCGUCGGCGGAGAAGGCCAGGGCCAAGGACGGCGGCACCGCCAGGGCGAAGGACGGCCGUGGUGUCGGCGGCAGGGUCGGCAGGCCCGCGCGCUCCGUCGAGGAGAAGUCGGAGGCCGCGUCCGAGUCGUCGGCCGCGACCACGGUGGCCGGGCCCGAGCGGUCCCCGUCGUCGAAGCCGCCCAGGUGCCGGCAGGGAAGGCCCGCGCCCGGUGGCGAGCCCAGGCGCGCCAGGCGGGACCGGGACCACGGCGCGGCCACACCCGGCGGGCGCGGCCGCGCGUCCCCCUCGCCCCCGCCUCCCCGACGCGACCCCGGGCGCAGGUCGCCGUCGCCCGCGGCGAAGCGGGCGCAGGACCAGCGCCGCGACGCUGCCGGCUCGGCCUCCUGCGCGCAGCGGAAGCCGCCCGUGCCCGCCAGGCCGACGCCUCCGCGUGCGCAGGAGGCGCCGGCAAAGCCACAUCUACACGGCCCUCCUACGCAGUGUGCGUCGCCACCGACGCCACAGGCGCCGGAGCAGGAGGAUACGAGUACUCCCCAAGGCAGCGACGGCGACGCCGCGGCGGGUGACGGCGAGGGCGAGGGGAAGGAGUCCCUGGAGAACCCCCUGGUGUCCAUGGAGUGCUUCAUCUUCCUGUAACACUGCACUAGCCCUUCAGUAAGUAAUCAGUGUACUCCAUUGUCACAGUUAGGAGUAACCAGAUUUAGAAGCCGUUCUGUUACGGUGAACGUAAUUCCGCUGGCAACUUCUUCCCGGGUUGGAAUUUUGUAUCCCGGGGAAGAAACUAGCCCCAGCUCUUUGGCGUACCUUGUCUGAUGUCCCUUGUAAUCUGUAGAUUUGUGGAGGACUGUAGCUAAUCCAAGCUAAGCUAGCCAGGGUGUCUCUGUAACGAACUGCAUUUUUUUGUUGUUGCUCUUUUUCCUUCCUGGUACUACAUUGAUUGCACUCCGAUCUUUCUUGUGCAAAGCUGGAGUUGCCACUUAUGUUGAUCCGAUCCGAUCCGAUCCAUGGAUGGACCAUGGCCGUUUCUUCCUCCUCGUUGCAUGGCAUGGUCCAUCACGAUGGGUUCGCCGGGGCAUUCAAUGGCUCCUCAUCCGCAUUCGCCCAGUUCAAUAACUCGGCUCAACCGCUCUGCAUUGCACGCCCAAGGCACGUCCGGCGUACUACUAACGUCAACGGGCCGAUCCGUGCCUGCGUAUUCAAUGCCCGUGGUGAACUGCUGAUCGGCGAGCACCGGCUGCUAUGCACACGAGCAACGUCUAAUCGAACAAAUGCGCCGAGCUGUAGGGACUCAUGGGAGGAGACCGUGUAGACAGCGGCGUGUGUGGGGGCGUGGCCGUGGCCGGGGCCGCCCGCCACCUUUUUCGCGCCACUCCCCCUCCCACUGGCCACUGUAGGGUAGCGUCCAGCAACGUCGGGGUGCGUGCCCACUGCAUGCCCACCAUCGCACCAGCGGCGCCCGCCGCCUGUCGGCCGCUCGCCGUUGUCGCCACCCCGGUGCCCGCGUCCCCCGCCCCCGAUUAUUUUAGCAGAGCACGGCGGGGCGCACGCCGCUGCCAACCACGGUGCGACGGUGUACUGGAGCACAUGUACUGUAGAAUACUGGUAUACUAGGACUGUGCUGCCUGGCCUUUGCGCUGGAACGUCUCUCCUUGUGCAGUGUACCUGUACGGGGAGAUCGCGGCGGAUCUGGUGCUGCCGUGCUGGUGGCCGGGAAGGGUGGGGGCGUGCGCGGCGAGCCCGAUGCGUUCGUGCGUGGCCGGCGUGCUUGCUGCGGCGCUUUCUGCCGCCACCGAGGCAGGGCCGGCUUUUGCGCCUUUGCAGCAGGGAGGCCGCAGCCGAGGUGGCCCGACCCCCGCACGUAGUCGGGUGAAAAGGGCGACGCUCGCAUUAUGCCGACAUGCACGCAGCGGCAGUGGCAGUGGCAUGGUAAAAAGGGCGACGCCCGCACGCCGACAUGCACGGUGAGCUCGCCGGGCCCGGCCCUUUCGCCCGCGUCGCAGCUUUCGAGCGCACUGCUCGCUGCUCGGAUACAGCGGGCCAAGCGGCAACUGUCAUGCUCUACCCGUCAUCUGUCCGACUGUCCCGACGGAGCCGAGGAAGUGGGCUCUGACAAAUCGCACGAAAAAGGAAGGAAAGAACCGAGCAGGCAGGCUGGUGUUUGAUGAAGCCCACCAACAAAGAGAUCUAGAGCAGAAAAGGCCCAAACGUCAACAACCUGAUUCCACUUCCCAGUGUGCCUUGCCUCAAAAAAAAAAAAACUUCCCAGUGUGCCUGUUCUAAAAAAAAAUUCUUUCCAGUGUGCCGAACAAUACCAAAAGCACCGCUGCCUUGGACAAAUUUAUUAUCAAGUGGUAUUUCUUCUUUUUGCAAGGAAUUUAUUCUCAGGCUAAACAGGGCGGCCAACGGAGUAAUCCAUACAAGUACACACAAAAAAAAAAACCUCAACACAAACACAAAGGAGCAACUUCUUCAGACCCGGAUCUUCCUUCAUCGUCCGCCUGUCAACGGAAUUGACAGGUUUCCUCCUCCUCUCCUAGCUUUUAUAUAAAAAUAAUCCGUAGAGUACUUGGUCGCCACCAGAUUCUCACCCCAGCAAAAAAUGGUGCUGGGACGUGUCCAGCAAAUACAGCUCUCA
rnacentral:lncRNA from 1 species